UGGGCCUUUCUUCCUUAUUUCCUGAUAACCCCCUGCAGAAAUAGACAAACACCAAAACUCGUAGAAUUCUGUCAGAUAAAACCCUAAGUCUAGGUGUUGGUUGCAUUUGGAUCCUUUUCCAUGAUUAAUUGAUGGUUAAGUGUGAGCAUUAAGGACCGUCAACAAGCUCCCCCAAGCUUAACCUUUGCUCAUCCCUGAGCAAAGAUGAACUCAAGAGUUUCUACAGUGGUUUCAUGCCUUAAAGAUACACAUGCGUUCAAACAAGAUCUCAUCUCUGGGUUAGGGUAAACUUUUAAGAUUUAAAACUUACUCAUUUUACCUUUCACCAUGGGGCUUGUAACCGUCACUUGUGUCUUGAGCAGUUAAAAGAUAGAACGGUCUAGUCAAGCGCCAUGUCUCUUGUUCUUCGAUUAACUAUAGCUCUGGAGUUUUUGUAGAUUUUCAAAUAAAACUCAGAGAUUCCUUGUAUGACUCUCUCUAGUCUCUGUUUUGUGGUAUUUCUGGAUCCUUACCAAGGCAGUAAUGGUGUAUACCUUCUCUCAAAGUAUGUGGUAUUUUUGGUAUGAGGCAUAGUGACAUUGCCUUCUCUCUCACCCUACUCUAAUAAGGUUUUGAUAUCUGGAGCUCAUAGGUGGGAGACAGCUAAUACAUACUUACAAGACAUUUAUUGCAUAGUCAAACUAUGGAUCUAGAAGAACAAGUCAAUAAGUCAAAUCAAGAUGUGCAUGUGUGGCGAAUGAAUGAUGUAUGGUGAUGAUGGUGAUAACAAUGGUGAAAGUCUAAUUCUACUUUUGCUCUUUUGAGGGGAUACAUACCUUCCUUGCUCUUUUGAAACUUUUGGGGAGAAUGAGAUGCUCUAUAUUUUAUUUUUCUUUUCUCUCAGGUGGGUAACUUGUACCCCUAAUUCUACUAUCGGACACUUGUCCAUUUUUACCUCUCGUCUCACUUUUUCUUUUCUUUCGAGGUUCCGGGCACUUGCCCGUUUUUAUUUCCUCGUAUCUCUUUUUUUUUCUUUUUUUUUAUAUUAGAGCACUCAUCUCUUGAAAUAAUGUAGCAAGUGGUAGUAACCAAGAUAACUUGAGCAUUCAUUUCAUAGGGGAAAAACAGAAAUGUUUUUGGCUAUUCUCUCCCGGAUUAGGAGUAGAAUAUUUUUAGGUGAUUCUGGAGAUGGAAAUGGGUGGAUAUAUGUGGAUGCGUACUACCAGAGUAGAAGCAGCAUGUAUGAGUGAACGUGCAAGUGAAUCUUGACUUAACAACAUGACAAGCUCCUAAGGGUCUACACAGCUUGACCACACUCAAUGCUCAUAAGCAGUAAAAAGUAAAUGUGUGGCUCAAAGUCUAGCAAGCAUGUAUAUAUGGCUGUGGUAGGAAUUUAAACUCUCAUCAUACAGGAACUCAUCAUGCAACAUUUUAAAGAUUUUUCAAAGAUAAAUUCUCCAGAAUUCUAGCAUCUCUAGGAACAGAUAAACAGCAGCUCAACCUUCCCAUAUCAUAUCCGUUAACGACUUAGACAUUAGAUCAAGUACUCUCCGCACAAGUUCAGGUUUAGAGCAAAUCUUAAUUAAUAACAGUCAUGCCUAAACUUGAGAGAGAUUUCAAUUUUGAUAACUAGUCAUGGUAGAGCAACUAUUCAUCAUUUCCAUGUGAGAGCUUAUCAUGAGGGUUCAUAGCAAACUUUAUUUAUUUAUUUAUUUAGCAAACUAAGCAAAGAUAUAUAUAAGCACAAAAUCUUUAUUUGGGUUUCGAUGAUUAUGCAUCAUUUUAUUAUUAGAGUAAAGUAUAAACGUGAGUAGAAUACUUAGCUGGAUAAAUGGUGGUGCUCUCCCCCAAGCUGGAUUUUGACAUAAUUUCUUCUGAUGUAGGAGGUGGUGGAGGUGUAUUUGAAUGUCAGCAGCACCCUGACAGUGAUUAGGAUCUCCUCCGUCUGCUAUUCUUCUUUGAUCCUAGAAUUCUGUGGAUCUCAAAUAGACAACAAAGCUUUGUGGAACUGGUUAAGUGUUAGCAUAAAUAUCUAGCCUUCAUCAUGUUGAGGCUCCUUAAUAAAUGUUACUCACUUUAGUAGGAUCAUAAAUUUAUUUUUAUAAUUUUAUUUUUAUAGGACAGGAAUAUAUUUAUUUUAUUUUUACGCCACCACACUGAAUGUACUUAUGGGUUUUAUGCCAUGAGCAUACUCACAUGGGGCUUACUAUUUUUAACAUUUUUAUUUUCUUUUCAAGAUGAUAUGAACCUGAUUAACUAAGCAAACUAUUUUAAAUAAUUGAAAGGGAAAAGAUAACUACCAAGUUUACCUCUUGGCAAGGCGUUCGGUGUUUUUAAGUCCUCCGAACGGGACUCUCCAUUUUCUCAGUCAUUCUAGGAUUCGCUGGAUGGCGUAGUCGGUGGUUCCGACGGUGCUUCCUCUUCGUGUAUAACUAUCUUCUCUUUCCACACCUGACUCGGUGGUACGGUCUCCUUACGACAGUUCUGUUCAAGUUGUAUGUCUUCCGACCUUACAACUUCUCCUUCAUAGUCUACCCAUCCGUCCUUGAUGAUUUGCCUCCUCUGGUUGCGGUUGCGUUGUCUUCUUCUUGUCCUGACCUGCUUAGAGUCUUCAACUAUAUAGUUAGGGUCGGUAAAAUAGCAGUGUACCUUCUCAGAGGGGAAAUGCAUGUGGACUUCGCCGGUUCUAAUGUAGAUGAUUGCUUUAACGGUGCUGAGGAACGGUCUCCUUCAACCUUUCGGAAUGUCGGAUCUGCCAUCUGGAGCUUAAUGUAUGUCGGUUUUUAGGGGCAUGGUUCCAAACAGGAGUUGAUAGGUGACUACGGCAAUUAUGUUGAUGCCUGAUCCGGUGUCGCAAAGCAUCUUCUGGAAGUUGUAUCCAUUAAUGGAGCACUGGAUGCUUCGCAUACUUGGGUCAUCCUUUUUGGUCAGGAAUGGUGACUUAAGUCGAUGAUCUUGACCUCCUUGAACUGCAGUGACCAUCUUAGCUGACUCGGUCCACACUUGCUUGUUCCUGUUCCUCCUGUUGGUCCUCUUCCUUGGUUCAUGUAGGGAAUGCUCUGAGAUUUGUGUAGUCUUGUUCUUGAAGGAAAACGUCUCAUUCCUCCCUUUGAUGUAGAAACUGAUCUUGGCAGCACUAGCGUAGAUGACAGCUCCCGAGGUGUUCAGGAAUGGCCUCCCUAUGGUGAUGGGUGCCCUCUCAUCAGUACCAGUUUCUAUCACCACGAAGUCUGCUGGGGCGUACAAGGGACCAACUCGGACGCAGAGGUUCUUCAAAAUUCCCUUUGGGAAACUUAGCGUACGAUCUGCAAGCUGCAAACACAAGGCAGUUUCUAAUAAAGGAUGUGUAAAGAAUUUUUUCAUAGAGUACCCUGGGUAUAAUGUUGACGCUGGAGCCAAAGUCACAGAGUACUUCUGGGAAGUCCACCAUGCCGAUGGAGAUCGGGAUGACGGCGCGUCCUAGAUCGCCUCUCUUGACCGGCAGAAGGUCAGUAAUUACUUCCACGGGUUACUCCAGUAGUUAUGUCCUCAAGCAUCUCAGGGCAGUGAUUGUCUGAGUGUCCAAUCUCUCCAGUGUGUUUGUGCUCGUAGAUCUAGGUUCUUCACUUGGUGGAGUCUGGGAGUUGUAAAAGUCCUUCAUAUGCUGCUCGAAGUGUACCUGCUCAUAGAGACAAGGCAGAGAUCAAGUGCAUGGGCCCUGCUGGUGGAAAACACCAACAGAACCAAAAGUGUAUUUGUUCUUCUCUAACCUUAAGCAUAGUGAGCAAGACAAAGUUGAUGGAUAAUAAAAUCAUGAGUGUAGUAUUUAACAUUUGUCAGAUUAGAUUGCUCAACCUUAUGGAAAGAUAAUCUAUCUAUAUAUAUGUUUUGUUUAUAUCUUUCAAAGAUUGAGUGUGCAACAUUUUAGCUAAUAUGAUUAGGAGUGUGGAAUCACAAAGGUGGAAGUUCUAAACAUGUUGAAUCGAUUGGGUUGGUUAAUCUAGAGUUGUAGAUCAUACAUGUUUGUCUCUUUUAUUCAUGUGAACGCCAGAACCAAGGAGAAGCUUAUAGAAGUGAUAGUCAAGUACUUUAAGAUGUUACCUUACUUGAAGAGUGAUGGUACAGUAUCACCUUGUGGAAGCUUUCCUCUCUUAGCGGUUGUGCAUUGUGUUUGUGGCACCUCCAUGGAUCAUCUCUUGUGAGCUAUGCUUUCCUUGUGUAAAUUGUUAAACUUCAUGUGUCUCACUCUUUGUCUCCAAUGUGAGUUUAUCUCAGGACUUCCCAGGUUGAUAUUGAAAGUUUUCCUACAGGGGUUAGUCCAACAAAAUAUCCCAUAUCUGCUAUAGCAUACUAUCGGCUCAAAAAUCAACCUAGACACCAUGUCUAAUUUGAUUUAGGAGGGCAUUUUAACCUAAACAUCAUGCUUAAUUUAAACUCCCUUGGAAGUAAGAUCAUCAGCCCUAACUAAGCACCAUGCUUAAUUAAGAGAUAAAUGAAACUACUCCAAACCUAGACAUAUACUAAAGCAAAUAAAGGUAGCAUGAGAGCAUUUAUAGAGAUCUACUCAAGUGGAGAUGAAGUAGUGUGAUUAGUAAUUAACAAAUUGAGCAUGUCUCAAAGGUAGGGACAACCAACAUAGCAACAUGGCAAAGGAUGUUUUUACGUAAAGUACUCCCCCAAGCUUGAAUUUUGCAAAAUUCAAGUUUGGAUGAAUUUAAUUCAAUGUUGUAUGAUGAUUGGUUGUACAUACCUUGUGCUUGUCAUUCAUUCGAUCUUCUUGCUCCAAUCCUGGAAAGGUUAGUGACAAGAAUACCCGAAGGAAUUUUUUACAAUUAUCCUUAUAUUCUCAAUACACAAGGUAAUGUUGUAAAUAAUUAAAAGCUCAUGUUACGAUCUAAUCAGUGCUUUAUUUUAGGACACUAAGCUUGUCCUUGGGAAACCAUCAAUUUAAGUCAGUGAAGUGGUUUCCCCUCCAACGCUGACCUAUAUCAAGAUCAACUCAACGAGAUCUACAAAAUUUCUUAUAGACAUAUGCAUCGACAACUGCCCUAUUAAAAUUUUUAUAAAUAGAAAGGAUGAGGGGGGUUGGAGAUCUCGAAUGUGGUGAUGUUAGAAAAACCAAUGGAUUGGGAAGAUGUUGCAAAUGAGCAUGGAGCAAAUGAAGUGGCUAUGAAAUAAAUUCCAUGCUCAUUAAUGCUAAGAGUGAAAUCCAUGUGGUGUGGUGAAAAUAGUAAGGUGAGUGUGGUAAAAAAGGAAAAGAAAAAGGAUACACAGACGACUUGGUUCGAAACUAGCACAGCUACCGUUCCCCGGCAACGGCGCCAGAAAGCUUGUUGGGUAUUUUAAACGCAAACAGAAAAAUCCGCAAGCGCACGGAUACCGAUGUAGCUUUCACCCAGGAGUAUUCCAGAGUAUCGAUUCUCCACAGGGAACGUGAGUGUACUACUUUAAGAUCCAAGAUCGCCCAAGGAUAACUCUAUAAUUAUUUUUGGUGGGAAGAGAGGAAGUUUCCUAAGAGUUCUCUAGUUGAUCUAAGAAUCAAGAAUUACUUCAAGAUUAUCUAUAUCGGGACAUCAGAGCACUAACCACAGAAAGAGAUGAGAAGGGGGAUAGGAAGGUCUGACUACGGUCCUACAAACACCGAUCCGAAUGUGGUGGAAUACGUUGACCGUUAGGGCUGUCACUACCCUAAGGCUACCACAACAAUCUGCAGGAUUGGGUGCAAUUCCAGGUAAUUGCAAGACUAAACACCACGUCUAAUCUAUUAAUUACGACUCUAGCGUUAUAAAGACUAGAGCACUUGAUGCAAGCGGGAAUCCAAUAAAUAACUUGAAUGUAAAUAAAAGUAAUUAAAGAACUCAGGAAUUAUGAAUUGAAGAACCUGGAGAACGAUGAAGAACGAACCAGAUGCUGCAAAAGUAUGAUGUUGAGGAAGAUCCGACAGAUCCGGCUCCUCCUCCGCUCUCCUCUUCUCUCUCCCUAUUUUCUAGAUUACAACUAGAACUAACUAGAACUAGAACUAGAGGAACUAGAACUAGAACUAGAUGAACUAGAACUAGAUCUAGAUGAACUAGAGGUAGAACUAGAAGAACUAGAGGGAUCCUCUCUACUUGGAUGAAGGAUUGAAACCCUAACUUUGAUUCUGUAGAAGAGGUAUGAUCUCCAGGGGGCAGGAGGUCUGGUUUUAUAGUCUCUUCAAGUGAAUAUGGGCCGUUGGAUCAAAGUGACAUUAAUCGCACGGUUUUCCUUGAUCCUUUAGGUUGGUGGAGUGUUGUCCCCGAAUUGGACUCUGUUUGGUGGAAAAAGGUGGGUGGGCGCCCUCAGGACUAGGGCGGGCGCCCUUUCCCUGAGGCCUCUCGGCUUUCGCUUUGUUCCCGUGGCUUCUGGAGUCUUCUAGAUGAUAGAAAAUUGCGCGGCACGUUAAUAUCUCUAUGUAAACCCGACGUGUGGGCCUUUCUUCCUUAUUUCCUGAUAACCCCCUGCAGAAAUAGACAAACACCAAAACUCGUGGAAUUCUGUCAGAUAAAACCCUAAGUCUAGGUGUUGGUUGCAUUUGGAUCCUUUUCCAUGAUUAAUUGAUGGUUAAGUGUGAGCAUUAAGGACCGUUAACAGGUCCCAUCUUCAUCGGUGGGCUGCUUGCCUUUCCUUCCAUCACAGCUGAAGAAGGCACCGAUCGCUUCCUCCCCUGCUGCGUAAUUUGCCACUACGUCCAUCAACUCAUCGACGGUCUGAGGGCGAUUCCGACCCAACUCCCGCACCAAGUCUCGACUGGUGGUACCAGAGACAAAGGCCAGGAUGACGUCGUGGUCGGGGAUAUGCGGUAGCUCGGUGCGCUGCUUCGAGAAGCGUCGAGCGUACUCUCGAAGAGUUUCUCCUGACUUCUUCUUGCACUUGCUGAGGUCCCACGAGUUCCCAGGCCGUAUGUAGGUCCCUUUGAAAUUACCCUCGAAAACCCUAACCAAAUCGACCCAGUCGUGAAUCUGAUCAGCUGGGAGUUCUUCGAGCCACCGACGGGCGGUGUCGGAGAGGAAAAGCGGUAGCUGUGUGAUGAUGGCUCGAUCAUCUCCUCGAGCGCCUCCUAGCUGACACGCCAGCCUGAAAUCGGCCAGCCACAACUCAGUUUGGUUUCACCGUUGUACUUUGCGAUGCUGGUUGGGGGUCGGAACGUACUGGGUAGGGGCGUGUUGCGGAUUGCCCUGCUGAACACCCGUGGGCCUGGUGGCUUGGGGGCCAUCCGGUCCUCAUCGCUGUCGUACCUCCCACCGCGAUGUGCGCUGUAGCCGCGCUCUUCUGCGUCACCGUGCCGAGAGCGUUGAUUCUCUUCAAUGUCGCGUCGUUCGUCGUGUCGACGUUGGUUGUCGACGGGGAGGACGAGCGUGGUCUUUUUUGCUCGGGGGGGUGGCUGUUGAUGGACCGACACCUCCUUUUCGUUUUGGGCUGGCUCAUCGCGCUUUUCAGUGGCAGCUCCUCGACGUUGUGAAGCCGAGCUUUCGGCUUGUUGAACUGCCGCCACUUGGAGCAGAGUUUGUACCUCGUCUCGAAUGCGUCGAGCUUGGGAGUUCGAUGGUUCUGGCAUGUUGCGCAGCAGCAUUGUCACUGCCACUACAUUCUGGCCUGCUCGAGGGAAACGGCUGACGGGCUGUUCUGGCUCUGCAUCUCUAACGAUUUGCCGGUGUACCUCUCGAGCUCGUCUACGGACACUUCCGCCAGGCGGGUAAGGCAAGUCUUGCUUGAGGAUUUGCUCGAGCAGGACAAGGCGCUCAUGAUCCUCGUCAAGCUUUGUCUUGAGUUCUCGUAGCUGCGCAAGUUGCGCGGCCCUGUCUUCCUGUGGAAGUGGGUCAACCUGUCCGUCGUUCCCAGGCGUCCUUGGGUCUUCUCUUGCUGCAGGGGCUCGACUACCGGCAGCCGCGUCCUGCGUCUCAUCGGUAGUUUCUACCGCCCCGUCGACGUGAUAGCAUUCCCUAGUAGGGUCGUAGCUAUCUGUCUCGGAGUCGGUGUCCGGUUUGGCGGCGUAGAAACAUCCACGUCCCUCCUCCAACAGCUGCUGCCUGAGCGAGGUGAUCGUGUAUCGCCCAGGGCCUAGGCGUCGGAGGCCUCGUACCUGGGAGAAAUCUGGCAGCUCGGACGUCGGCUGCUGUGCUUCAGAGUCACGUGGGAGGACCAUUGGUCUCUCUACGUACGUCUGGGCGUUUGGGCAUAUCGCCCUGGCGAGCGACGCCGCGGCGUUGUCCAAUCCGAUUGGCAGCGCCCUUUUUGGAGUGAACAACCCAUGUGGAAGUAACGUAGCAAUGGGGGAGAGCGCACGGGGCCCGUCUCCUCUUGUCGUUGUGCGAUGCUGGGCCGGUAUGCCCACGGUUCUGGCACGCGGCGCUGCCGGCUCCUGUGUCACUUCCUGCUUAGCGCGAACUGCCGGUCGUGACGGUGCAGAGGGGUGACGAUGAUGCUGUCCACGCCUCUUCUUGGGUGGGGAGGCGUGGUGUCGAGGGCGUCUCGGGGCCCUCAACCACGCUGGCGCAACGCGUGCUCCUCCCGGUCCUUUGAUCGAGAGCAAGAUCAUGUCAUAGCCGGAGCCAGUCGACAUGAACUCAAGGCUCCCAAACCAAAUCACCGUGGAGCGCGGAAUCGGUGAAGCGAGGGUGGGCAUCUGGAAAGGAGUGGGAAAUCGAUGAAAAAAACCACGCAGGACCCCUACCUGGCGCGCCAACUGUCGGUGUUUUCCCCACGGUGGGUCACACCAACUAGUAAAUUUGUAUGCGUGCUCCUGUUUCCAGAUGGUGAUGCAAGAAGACACAAAGAUUUAUCCUGGUUCGGGCAAGAGAAGGCCCUACGUCCAGCGGGGGAGGGAAGUUUGUAUUAUCUUGCACCUAAGUGCUUGUACAGGGGCAAAUACAAGUGCGUAUGAGCUGGGAUGGAGUAUGGAGACUCCUUUACAUGUGUGUUGUGUUGCGUCAUUUGAUCAUUCCUGGGUCUCCCCUUUUAUAGUUCCAAGGAGAGGCCUAGGGUACAUGUAUAGGUGACAGAGUAGGGGUCGAUAGAGGCAUGGCGCGCUGACCUACUCGAGGCCUCCGUACCGGCGUGGUCUCGAGCCGUCCUGUCCUGGUAGCUUGAUGAUGAUUACGCGUGCCCUUAUAUCCCGCUCUGCACGCCGUCUUGGGCCGGUCUGUCCGUUGCACGCCUGUACGUCAUGGCGGCUGAUACGUCAGAGUGGUGGCAGUGCCGUCAGUCGACGCCCAACCCUUCCCCAGGAAGGAAACAUGUCCGGUUGAGGGUCGGAUGCCAUGUAGUGCCUUGCCAUCCUGAGUAUUGACUUUUGGCGUCUCGAGGGGGUCCUGACUAGACGUUCCAUCUCGGUUUCCCGCGUCCUGACGCGCUCUGGGUCAUCUGGUGGGGAAGGCUGCAAAAAGAAUGACAGGACGGGUGCCUGUUCCCCAUCACGCUUCCCGUGACUAGCGUGUUAGGUGGGAAAGCGACAGGCGCAUUAAAUGUUUGGGUUCUCGUGCGCGCGUCAGGCGGCGGGCGAUGUCCUUGCGCUCAACGCCUCCUGGUUCGCUCGAGCCCAUUUCCGUAUUCGACGGUAGUUGACGCUCGACCCCUGAGCGGUUCGCUCGACGCCUUAUCGAUCUUCGAGGCUGCAGCCGUCGAUGACUGUAUGUAUGGCUGAUCAGAACGUCGAGUUGAGGGCCUCGAUCUGUGUAAGGGUAAUCUCGUUAUGUGCAUCAGUUAGGAUACCCCUUACUGAUACCCUCGACAAGCCUUGAGCGCCUACAAAAUUGGAAGUCGCAUAGGGAGUCAGUAUUGCAAAAUAGAGCAAAAAACACUUCACAACGUGGGAGGAAGCCUUACCUGGCCAAGGUUGUACAUGUCUCGGCUCACGAGCUCAGAAGCUCGGUUGAUGGCCUCGACGCUGGCACGCCCGCAUGCGUCCAGACCCUGCCAGAGGUAAGCCUCCGACGGGUCGUCCAGAACAAAUCUGGCCCUUCCCUCCACGUCGUCGAGGUUGGGCCAGAAUACGGGGCUCUUGCCCCAUCGGGCGUCGCCUUCCCCUCCUGCCGUGGGAGCCUCGGGCGCCGUGUUGGACGCCACGAUGGCCCGACCUUCCUCAACCUGCACGGGCCGAACCGCGCCUCCCAGAUCCGCAUCCGCUGAAGGAGGCAUAGCCUCGGGGGCAGGAGCCAUCUCCUCUGGCCCUUGGGGCAUUUGCGCCCCCGUCUCCUGCCCCCGACGGCGCUCCCCCUCCUCGCAGCUCAGAGGGGGCGGCGACUUGGGCCUCGCCGACCCAGGGGUCUUCUGCGCCCCCCCUCUUCACGGCCUUCAGGGGAGCCAGCGCCACUGGCAACGCCUUCUGCUUUCGGCUGAACAAAAUAACACGAGUCAGAAGAAAGAGAAAACAAAAAAUCAACGGCAAGAUUAGGAAUCCUAUACGCACCUCGCCCGGGGAGUGGCCUUCUUCUGGGAGCUCGGAACUCCCUGAGGACCUCCCGAAACGCUAGGGGCCGUCGGCCGGACCCCCGUCUCACCAGCGGAUGGCACGAGGGCUACGACGAUGGUCUCGGCCUGCGUCACCUCCACCGAGCCGCCGGCUUCUGUCCCGGACGCUAGGCGGGGCUCGGCUAGGCCCUCUGGCGCUACCGGUUGAGGGGGCGCCUCGGAUUCACCCCCCGACGCCUUCUCCCCCUCCUGGGGACCCUCGGGGACUGAGCCCUCCUGAGGGGUGCUGUCCUCGUCAUCUACAAUAAUGUGGGGGACGGAUUGGCCGCCCCCCAGUGCUUGGGACCCCUCGGGAGCCUCCGACCCCCCUCGGGCCUUUGACCCCUCUGGGAUCUCAAUCCCCCCACCGGUAGGGGGGAUUAUGUCGUCCUCCUCCGCCAUCUCAUCGAGCCAGUCGACAUUGCAUCCCCCACCCUCAAUCUCCAAGACUGAAGUCUCAGGAGAGUCGGGCGGGGCGACCCCUGCCUUCUCGGCCUCGCUGUGGUUCUUGGCGGAGAUCUCCCACCACUGCGCCUUCCUGGCGGCCUUUGCCUUCUUGUCCUCCUUGGCCUUCUUCUGUUCUUUGUUCCGGGCCUGAUUCUUGGCCCGGAUCUCCUUGUCCUCUGGGACAGGGGUUAGGGAAUCCCUGACGAUCCCCAUCCUCUGCAAACAAGCGGCGCUCAAGAAAAAGGCUGGGAGAAAAAGGAAACAAGUGCAAAAGUCGACAUCUUACCCGAGAAAUACAGCCCUUUUCAGGGCUCAUCGGCACCACCCGGGAGUUCUUCAUAUCCGGGUGCGUCGUCCUCUCCACCCGGGCGGCGAUGUCCGAUGCCGAUAUCGGCUCGGCCAACAUUCUCGUCCCGGCCCAGGGGACGUCCUGGGUCAUCUCGAACAUGAACGCUCGCCACUGUGCCAACGGGAGCAGACUCCUCUUGUGGAACACCGUCGCCACCGUGGCCACGGUGACUUCGGCGUCGCGCAGCUUCUCGAGCCCCGAAGAAGUGGGGCGAGUCUCUUCUGCUCCUCCGUGGGAGCACCCCACACCCACUUCUGGGGGGACUCCGUCACCACCUUCCCGGUGUAUGCCGGGAGUAGCCCGCCGUCAUUCUGGAGGUAGAACCACCCGUUCUGCCACCCCCAGUUCGACGAGGGCAUCACGCUCCAGAUGUACUGCCCAGCCCGCUGCUGGCGGAGCUGCUGCGUGCAACCGCCGACUCGUAGGGGGAUCUUCUCCCCUCCCACAUAGCAGGCGGACAUCUCCGCCUUAAAAAGAUGAAGCCAGAGGUUCUAGUGGGCAGGAACCCCCAGAAACCCCUCGCACACCGUGGUGAAUAUGGCCGCCUGCAUCACCGAGUUAGGGUUGAGGUUGUGUAGCUCCACCUCAUAGUGAUGCAGGAUCGCCCGCAUCAAGCGGCUUGCCGGAGUCCCGAACCCCCAGUCUAAGAACGACAGGAAGCAGACCACAUAGCCCUGAGGCGGGUUCGGCUCCCUGUCGGUCGCCGAGGGAGCGAUCCACUCCGGCUGCCUGGCAUCCGUAAUGGGACGGAGGAUCCCAGCCUUCACGCGCGCCUCCAGCGCGGACUUGGUGACGUUGCAGGGCGGCCACGCAACAUCGCCGGCCAUGGCUUUGGGUUAAGAAGGGCGUCCGUGCGGCGAAGGUGGAGAAGACGGCAGCAGGAGAGAAAGCAGGAGGCGAGAGCUUUUUUGCGCAGGAGCAGGAGGGAAGAAACCAAGUCCCUGCGGCCGCUUUUAUAGAAGGAGCACACCACGGCCACACCGCAUGCGCAGAAGGCCAAAUGGGAAAAAGAGCAACCGUCGCCCACUUCACACCAGGUGAAAAAUUUGAAGCGCCAACUCCCUCAGAUUCUCACGCCCGCCGCACUCGCACAUUAAUUUCGCAGGCGAAACGUCCCAUCCGGUCAGGGCACAACGGCACGGCCGUUUCGAGUUCCCACGUGCCGCGCCUCAAAAGGAGCGUUUUGAAAAGUCAUGUCAGGGCGGUUCCUUCCAGGGCAAGCGGCGCUCGACCCCCCGCUGACCAAGGUCGCAGGGCGGUCCCCGUCGGGCGCAGUCUCCGUCUCGCCCGACCCCCUGCUAACCCCGAGCGAAAAUCGCAAGGCGGUUCCCGUCGGGCGCAGAUUCCGUCUCGCCCGACCCCGACACUACAAACAAGUCUGAAAAAGCCUUUCGAGGCCAAAAAUCCCGAGGCCGUGGCCACCUACAUUCUAGAGGUUGCGAGACUGACCUGCAAAACAGGUUCAAACAGUCGCCUCACGAUGACUGAGCGAGGGAUGAUUGAAGAUGAGCACAACAGAGGCCAAGGUCCGAGCCCCAUAGGGAGUCGGCGCAUCUUUUCCAGUCAUAUCCGAGACCCAUGCGGGUGUCACGCGAGUGGGAUCCCAUCGAGGGAGGCAUCGAGCCCUCGGAACCUAACGAACGGUUCCGACGUCCACCGUGACUGCCCUCGGGUAUUUUUGAGAUGUGCCCAUAAGGCCACUAGCCAACCCCUAUCGAAUGGAACUCGGACAUCUACUUGGAUCUACCCGCUUACAGCUCCCGGGAAACGUCGAUACUCGCCCAUCGAGGGUAGUACGGCGCAACCCACCCCUCCUCCGAGCGAAAGGAUGAAUGAGGGAUGUAAUUACUAAGAUGAGAAAGAACCUGAUCGACCCUUAUGGGGAAAGGGCUCGGGGGCUUCCUUGCACCAGGGGAACAGGCUCUACAUGUAGAGAACACGCAACCUAUCCCUCAAAUACUCCCGACCGCAUCACUCAGGGGCAAAAGCCUUUGAAGGAAUAAACACCAUUCCUCCAAAAGGCUCGGGGGCUACACCCGGCGGGUGCGCUUGAGCGCACCCUCCAGAGAAAAAUUUGAAAGUUCCCGAUCAACAAUGGUCCCUUAGAAGAGAACCUUUGAAGAGGUGACCUCACCCCCUCAAAGGCUCGGGGCUACUGUUGGGUACCAUAAAAAGGGAUACCCAAAUCGGAGCAAUAAAAAAUGCAAAGGACAAAGCAAAUUAACCGCAAUCACCAAGGCACAGGCCCAGCUCAUCUGACUCCUGGAUCUCAGGACCUUACCACGACUCGCCCGACCCCCUGGGCCUCGGAUGCAAGCUCCGCCUCGCCCGACCCCUCAGGGCCUCGGACGCAAGGUCCGUCUCGCGCGACCCAGGGGCUCGGACGUAGACACCGCCUCGCCCGAUCCCCUCGGCCUCGGGCGUAAGUUCUGUCUCACCCGACCCCUCCAGGGCACGGGCGCCAAACGCCGCUCCACCAGAUUAGGGCAAGACUUCCGACGCACGGCGCCCGUACCCACGACGUGACAGGCGCAGUAACUCCCGUAUCAUAGCAGGGCAUGGUGGUGAUUAUUCCAACCACCCUGGUCACUGUAGCCUUACCUCUUUCACUAUGCAACCUUACCUCUUUUACUGUGGUGUACCGCCUCACAGUGAAAGAGGAAUGGGGGAGAUUAACCAGCAUCACUAUUGGCUGUCUUCUCCCACUGUUAUAGGACAAGCUACAAUAUCACCGAUCUGACCCCCAUGACUUCAACAGGGCUCGGUAACCCUCCAUAGGAGCAGCCAUGCUGUCAGCCAGGCCUCAAGGACGAGGCGGGCAAGCUUCUACAGGGUCGGGGCUGUAGUUUCACCACUCAUCGGAGGAAAAUCACCCAUCACAUAUGUAAAAUCCUGCGCCCCCUUGAGACUAUAAAAGGGGAGCCAGGGCUCACAACCGAGACAGGCUCACAAGGUUCAUCCACACACACACGAUUACCACACUCACUCGCAGAGUAGCAACCAGCGCUCUGUCCACCACAAAGCCAAGACCUGGGACUUAGCCCUCUCUCGCAACCUGCUUGUACCCCCCUACUACAAGCACUUUUGGGCGCAAGGCUAUACAGAUCCCCGAUCUCACUGGACGUAGGGCAUUCUUGGCCCGAACCAGUAUAAAAUCUCUGUGUUCCACUUGCAUCACCACCCAGGCUUAGGUAGUCACGCAAACUUAUACUUGUUUGUGUCUAGACCACGAGUCUAGACGCCGACAAUUAUGCUUCUUGGCAGUUGAGAAAACAUGAAGUUAACUAUCCGACUCACGACCUUGAGCAGCAGCUGUGGUGCACGCUCUGAAAAUCUGGAGGCAUUAUCUGCUAGGGAAUAAGUGUCAUAUCUACACAGAUCAUAAAAACCUGAAGUACAUCUUCACUCAAUCCGAGCUGAAUAUGAGGCAGCAAAGAUGGUUAGAGCUGAUCAAGGACUAUGAUCUCGAGGUCCACUAUCACCUAGGCAAGGCUAAUGUGGUUGUGGAUGCUUUAAGCCGUAAACCACACUAUCAAGUGGUCCAGCCGUUGUUUGAAGAUGGUUUCAAUCUCAUGCAUCCUGAAGUUUUAUGUCACAUACAGCUUAGUUGUUCACUAGAGAGUUGUUGAUGGUUCUUAAGUAUUAAUUUUAAUUAUCAAAUAAACAAGAGAAAGGACCAAUAUACAAACAACACCUAGAAUUAGGGUUUGAUCUGUCAGAAUUCCACGAGUUUUGUUGUUUAUUUGUUUAUGCAGGGGUUAUCAGGAAAUAAGGAAGAAAGGCCCACAUGUCGGGAUUACAUAGAGAUAUUAACUCACCGCACAAUUUUCUACCAUCUAGAAGACUCCAGAAGCCACAGGAACAAACGGGAAGGUGAUUGGGCCCGGGGGCAGGUGCCCGCCAACCCCCCUAGGGAGCCCGCCUAGGUGUUGUGUCCAAUCCCGUCCAACUUCGCGGAUCACGCUCCACCGACCUAAAGGAUCAAGGAUAACUGUUCAGUCAAUGUCGGUUUGAUCCAACGGCCCAUGUUCACCUGAGGGGACUAUAUAAGCAGACCCCCUAGCCCCUGGAGGAGAACAUGUUCAUCAUAGAGUUGAGAGGAGCCCUCGAAGCAUAACCUCUCCUCUAAAUAGACUUAGGGCUUAGCAUCCAAUGUGAGUAGAAUUAGUUCUUCUAAGUUCUACUAGAUUGAGAGAGAUAGAGUGGAGGUGUAGAUCGGAGGAAGCUUGGCCUGUCAGUGUCUACUCUGAGGUUGUACCUGCGGGAUCAAGUUCUCCUAACCCGAAGCUUGCUCCUAGGAUUCUUCAGUAUUUCGACUUCUAAAUUCUAGUAAGUUCUUGUUUUAUUGUUCGUUGGUUUAUGAGUUUACUUAAUCUCUUCGUGUAGAGUUUAGAGUAAUCAUCUCUAUCAUAGACGUGGUGUUUGGGCUAGGAUACUCAUAGAUAUUCCCUGACUAGCUGGACCGUGGCAGUAGCGAGGAACGUGACAUUUCCGAGUUACCUUUGCAGCCCAUAUCCCGUUAGUAGGAUCGAUAGGGUUUAUAGGUGCGGGUUGAACAUCCUCUGUGGUGUCUAGAUUCUGUGAGCCUCCCCAAUAGAACAGUAGAUUAUCCUUACCAAGGUUAGAAAGAGAUUAUGGUUGUAAUCUUCUCUAUAUAUCACUGACAUCGAGAAACAUUCUUUGUAGCCUAAAGGUUAGUAGUAAUAGACUGGGUAAGUCAGAUGCACUCUUUCUCCUAGUGGUAAAAAUAUAAAUACGAUACUCUGGAUAACAUCCCGAGUGAAGUGCUCACCGAUAUCCAUGCGCUUGCGGAUCAAUUCCUUAUUGCGUUCCCAAAUAUCAACAAGCAUUUCUGGCGCCGUUGCCGGGGAGAAAGACGGUUUGCUGAGAUAACCUUGAGUCUUACUAUAAGCUUGUAUCUAUACUUUUAUAUUUUCUUAUCUUUUAUAUUCUUUUAUUUUCUUUACUCUUACCUUAUGGGAAACCAAGAUUCUAAAUCAAUCUACCAAUUUGUAGCACCUUCGGAAACUGACCUUUUACCAUGGGAGUCAUCACAGCCUAUCCAAACAUCCCAGUAUAGGUUAAGUUGUAGGUUGAUUGCCAUGAUUCAAAACCUAUCCUUUUCAGGAAUGGAAGACGAAAACCCUUACCUUCAUAUUAGAGAUUUUGAGCGAACAUGUGAUUGUCUUCGCAUUGAAGGCAUUUCUGAUAAAACUUUACGUUGGAAGCUUUUUCCUUUUUCUUUAAGGGGAGAAGCUAGACAAUGGUACAUGUUGAUGCAAAAGCUAGAUCUGCAAACACAAAGGGCUAAUACCCGAUUUAAACGUUAAGGCGUGCCACCCGAUUUGACCUUACUAUCGGCAAAGGUGAUAACUCGAAUACUUUGGUCCCGACAACAGCGAUGCGCCCGAAUGCCACAGCCAAGAGGUAUUCACGCGGAACUUGAGAACACACCGAGCUUAAGUCGACGAAAUCCUAAGAACUCGUAAUGAAAAGGAAAAAGUAUGACGAAGUCGUCGAAAUAGUAGAUGCUGGAAUAUUAGUAAAACCGGUAUUUGAUUGAUUGAUAGAUUCUUUAUUACAAUGCCCGAGGGUCUACAUUUACACCCUGCUCAAAGAGCUACAACCAGACAUGACUAGAACUUGAAUUCCAAAUUUAAACAGAAUCGGUAUACAAAACGAUUUAAAUAACUAAGAAAAACACAAAACCAUCCUCCCGUGACAAACUGGGACACCACCACGGACUAAUCGGCUACCUACGAGUCUUCCUUCCAUGUCAUCAGCAGACUCCCCAUCGGCAACAGUUAACCCUGGCCAUUGGCAUAAACACAUCGCCAUUCACGGACUCAGCCAUCUCCAGCUGUCUUCUCAUCGGCAACCAUCCUCAUCGCAAGCCUUCUGCAGACCAGUGACCAUUACCCUAUCUUGCCGAUCCACAUUCCACCGAUCCUGGAUACGUGUCAAAAAACGGUGUCAACACAUGCCCCCCAAUUUCGAAGUAUGAAAUCAUUAAUUUUCCGAAAUUCUCUACAGUAAUGAUGCCUUUCUGCAAUUAAUUCUCCCAAUUUGGUAACUGACAGCCUCAACCUGAACAACCCUGAUCCAAUCCUCCCGCAGAUUCCUCGAAAUCCUCAACUUCCUAAACGGACAUCUCCAAUUCAAUCGCUCGUCGGCAAUAUUACCGUUACAGAAAGCUGCCGAUGUACUGACCAAGACAUCCCGCACAGUGACGUGUCUUAUCCUCCGCAACGGAUAUCUCCACUUUAUCCGUUACAAGGCGCUGCCGAUGGACCGACUAGGAAAUCUCGCACAGUAAAAUAUCCCCAGAUCACGACCGCUUCCUGUCAAAUCACCUGCGCAAUCCCUUGAUUACCGUGCGAACAGUUGCCAUAUCUUCCCGAGUAUCCUCGGAUUUCACGGAUACGGCGAAGUGAUAAGUCAGAUUUACCCUUGCCCAUUUCGUUCUAUAAAUAGUUCCUUCUCGGGUACUCCUUCUCCAUCAUCUCACUCUACAACCCCAACUCUGUUCUCUGGCGGCGGCGCUGUUCAAGAACUCCAAGAACUCCAGUGAAGGCUCUUCUUCACCAGUCCCGAAACCUUCAAUCUUCUUUCUUACGAGGAAAAUGGCCAUCAACUUCACCGUCCCUGAGGUUAAUUCAUCACCCCAUCCCGUGUACUUUUAUCAUGUUCUGGUUCAUCCGCACUUUAUUUUACUAAACAUUUUUCUCCCCUUCUUUUUUUGUUCUUCCUUUUUCCUUCAAAACCAUUAGGAUCUGUCCAAUAAAAUUGUCAUCCCUACCGAUCAGCCACACCUCCAAUGCGUUGGUCCAAUAGGGGAUCCAGAUCCCACCAUUCUUAUCAACGCAGAAACAAACAGAAUCCCUUUCAGAGCCGAGAACUUUUCUCUAGAUCUGUGGAAAGACACCUUUCGUUCCUGGCCCAGUCCUACCGUGGGAUGGAAGGAUUGGUUCUUGAGAGUUAGUCACUCAUAUGAAGUCCAAUGGGGUGAGAGAAAGUUUGAUCAAUGCAUCAGGCUGUCCAUUGCCGAUAUGCAUAGGAAUGAGUCAUUGCUGAUAGCUGCAUCUUAUUUCUGGUCGGACACCCUUAAUGCCUUUGUCUUUGGUCACGGCCCUACUUCCCUACACUUGCCGAUGUCGUCAUGCUCACUGGCCUAGAUGUAUCCUCUACCGAUAGCACCCACUUCUUUGAUACCAAACCUAGUGCCAAGGUAGAAACCCGUGCCAUCAGCGAUUGGUCAGGGUAUAUCCAAAAAUAUAAACGAACAGGCCCUGUUAACAUAUAGGAGCAAACCAGCUUCCUAAACAUGUGGCUGGACAAAUUCGUGUUCUGCGGUCGAUCGGCAGGACCAACUUUUGUUUACUUAGCAGCAGCAGAAAGACUAGCCAACGGUGGCCGAUUUCUCCUUGGCCGAUACUUGCUUGGCGCGGCUUACCACCUCCUUCAUCAAGUAGCCAAAAAACUCCUGCUUGGUCAGUCCAUCGGCAACUUGGGGGGUCCCUGGUGGUUUAUUAACAUGUGGCUCAGCCUCCACAUGCACAAGCGUCUCGAGUUUGACCUCUUCGCACAGCGCUUCCCUAGGGAUAUAGCCGAGGACUACGAAUUGGAUGAAGAAGAAUCGGUAACUCGUCCUCCCCUAAACUUUGGCGAAGCUGCCAUAGUUCUGCCCGGUACCGGGGGCAAUGCAGAUCAGGUCAGCCGAUUCUUCCAGACCCUGUACGAAGGUUUGACCAAAGAGCAACGAGCGUGGAUGCCCUAUGAAGAUCCACAUACUAUGUUUCCUUUGGUUUUCCAUCCAUUCAAUGACACUCUCAACAAGGAUCAUGAUGUGAUGAUGGCACUGAUCACUCCCAGAGCCAUACCAGUGAAUUUCUUUGGCAGUGGGAAAACCUCCAACCAAACUUAUGAGUUCUACAAUCCAUCGGCACUAGCCCAUCAACUAGCUUUCGGCCAGCUGCCGAUUGCGCUCUGUUACGCCGAUGUGAUAAAACCUAGGGAAGUCAUCACUAACCUCCUCGAGUGGAUCCGAGUAGCCCAGCUAGCACCGAAUGCCGAUACAGAUGUAGAUCUGUCAGAGUGGGUCCCAGCCCUCUUUAUUACUCAGGCGUACAAGCAAUGGUGGGAAGAAUGGAAGGAGCACUUGUUCUGCAGAUCGGCCCUUACAUACCGUGGCAUGAUCGAUGCUCAGUACAAAGUCCCCGAUGAUACUGUAAGUACCUCUAAACCGAUGUUCUAAUCCUUUUAUCCUCAUUUUCAUCGGUAACUUACUCUUUGCAUUAUAUUGCAGGUUGACGACACUCCCCCAUCGGUCAGCAGGAGUGGCAAGCCGAUUGAUCUGUUCCCCUCAGGCCCGAUUUUUUCAAUCGGCAACAACACCCCCGCUUUGGCUGCUAUCAUGCAUCGAGGUGUACGCCUCAAGAAAGUAACCACCAAAAGGACCAAGACGUCUCCAUCGGUAGCUGCCUCCACUUUGGCACAGGCUUUCGAGGUGAAUUUUAAACCUCUUUCAUACCGAUCUCAUUCUUUACAUCUGUUGCACUCAUGCUUACAAACUUUCCUUUUUGUAUCAGCAUACCGGCGCAUCAGCAAGAACCAGAAGCACAAGUGCCGAUGCCCCCCAGUCUAGUCAGCCGAAGAGAAAGGGCGCCAAGAAUACCAGAGCACAAACAAAGCGCCAAAGGGUAGCAACACCUUCUCUGCCCCCAGUAUCACCAAUCACAGUGGAAUCUUCCCCUUCUUCUCCAGAAGCCCAAAUGCAACAAGCACCAUCUCCCCCUCAUCUGCAAGAAGCACCACAAGUGGAAGAACCCCAACCAGAAGAGCCUCAACCAGAAGUACCUCAGCCAGAAGACAUAUCGGCUGAUGUGCAUGAACAAACUACCGAUCCAGCAGGUUCCAUUAUAGCAUCGGUGGUCUCUUCCAUCCAGACAAGUACUGCUCCUCCUCAAGGUAACAUACUUUUAUGAGAUUACUGCCGAUGAUCUUAUCUUCUCUGUCUUAUAAUUAUUUCUGUUGUUUUUAUAAUUAUUUCUGUUGUUUUUUUAGCCGACAUAGUCCCAUCAGCAACCCCAACCGAUCAGCCUACAGCUCCACCAGCAUCUUCCAGUCAAAGGCGAGAGAUCACCUUGAAACAAGUAAGGUAUCUAAUCUCCAUCAGUACCGCUUGUCAGUACUCAACCAUGAAAUAACUCACUUUAUUUACCUUUACGGAACAAGAUUCUCCUGACAGCUUGUUCUCCUUUGCCAUUGACAUCUCCGAAGACGAGGGUGAAGAAGCAAGUUCUUCUCGGGCAAUUGGAAUCACAUCGGCAGAAAUUAGGGCGAAGUUGGAAGAAUUAUCGGCUCUCCUUCAUCAAGACACAGCCCAACUGGUCGAUGACUCCGAUCCGGCCAAGGCUUUGUUCAAGACCCUCAGAGGCCAGAUUCCUGCCAAUGCUGAGGAAAUUCUCUUUCAGGCUGCACAUUUAGAAAGUCGCCAGCUGCAGUACCAGAGAGCCGCCCAACGUCUUGCCGAUAGAGCUGCUCAUGCCCAGCUGUCCGAAGAGAUGAUGAAAGUGAAGCUCCUUGCCGAUGAGAAGCACAAGAACAUCGGCAUCUUACAAUCUUCAGGAGAUGCAUUGAAGCAGAAAAGUUAUGAUCUAUCGGCGAGAAGAGAAGCCCUGUUGGCAGAACUCAAGCAGGUAGAGGAUGCCUUGUCCCAAGCCCGACAAGAAGAAAGCCAACUGCCAGAGACAAUCAAGCUUCUUGAGCAAGAACGAAACAUCCAUGGCCGCAAGGUGCUGCAGAUGAAAAGGAGCUGAAGCCAGUGGAAGGCUCUGCCGAUGACGACGUGAAGGAGAUAGAGGAAGCCAACCAGAUCCGUCUGCGUGCCAUAUCAGCGAUCCAGGCGCUGUUGAACACAUGAGCUCUUCAUCGGCAAUACAUCCUACUCCAUUUCUUUCUGAUCCCUUAAUAUUUUGGUCCAGCCGAUAGGACUGUUAUCGGUGCCUUUUAAAACACUGAGUCUUACCCCCAGAUACAUUUUGAUCCAGCCGAUAGGAGUGUUAUCGGCACCUAACUUUUAUGCAUCGACCCAUAUGCUAGGUAGUAUUUUUUUAGAUAUUUACCAUUUAACGCUCUGGGAAAUUCAACUCCUUCGAGAGUUUCUAAAAUAUAGGCAUUACCAGAAGCCGACUGACUUAUCCGAUAGGGACCUUCCCAAUUAGGAGACCACUUCCCAAACUUUGAACUUUUAGUCCCGAUCGGUAAGAUCAAUUUCCGUACCAAGUCUCCAUCGGCAAACCCCUUAGCCUUUACCUUUCUAUCAUACCAUCUAGCAACUCUCUUCUUAUUCUUUUCUAUACUCAUUAAGGCCUUUAGCCGAUGUCCCGCUAGAUCAUCUAACUCAUCUGUCAUCAAAGUAGCAUAAUCAUCGGCAGCCAGUUGAUCCUGAAAAGAUAGUCGCCUAGAUCCUGUCUUAAUUACCCAAGGUAAUACUGCAUCAUGCCCAUACACCAACUGAUAAGGUGAAACCUUGGUCGAUCCUUGACAAGCCAUCCAGUAUGACCACAAAGCUUUGUUUAAUAAUGUAUGCCACCUCCUAGGAUUUUCUUCAAUAUUUCGUUUGAUAAGCUUGAUAAUUCCUUUGUUAGAUGCCUCGGCCUGCCCAUUAGCUUGAGCAUAAUAAGGAGAAGAGUUUAAUACUUUAAUUCCCAUACCGAUUGCAAAUUCAUCAAACUCCCCCGAUGUGAACAUAGUACCCUGAUCGGUAGUGAUUGUUUGAGGAAUUCCAAAUCGGUAGAUAAUAUGCUCUUUCACAAAAUCAAUCAUAUUGGCCGAUGUAACUUUCUUUAAAGGAAUAGCUUCAACCCAUUUGGUGAAAUAAUUGGUGGCAACGAAGAUAAACCUAUGUCCUUUGCUAGAUGGUGGAUAGAUCUGACUGAUUAAGUCAAUAGCCCAUCCUCGAAAUGGCCAAGGCUUGAUGAUAGGAUUCAUGGCCGAUGCAGGUGCCCUUUGAAUAUUGCCAAACUUCUGACACCCCUGACAUCCUUUGAUGUACUUAAAGCAAUCUUCAAGUAUAGUCGGCCAAUAAUACCCAUUUCUUCUAAUCAUCCACUUCAUCUUAAAAGCCGACUGAUGUGCUCCACAUACUCCCUCGUGGAUCUCCCCCAUCAAACUCUUAGCCUCAUCAUUACCUAAGCAUCUGAGAAGAAUUCCAUCGAUAGUUCGGUAAUAUAAUUCACCUUCAAGUAGCACAUACUUGGUAGCUUGAAACCGAACACGCCUCUCAACUUUCUUGGAUGGAUCCUUUAAAUAAUCAAUGAUUUCUUUCUUCCAAUCAUCGGCACCGAUUGCCGAUAUUGCAUUAAUCAUGGGCUGAUAUCCCGAGGCAUGCUGAGCCAACCGAUUGGCCUCCUCAUUAUGCAAUCGAGGAACAUGCUCUAACCGGAAGUCCUUGAAUUUCCUUAACAAUUGCAUACUCCUUUCGUAGUAAGUUAUCAAGACUUCACUUCAGCAUUCAUAGCUUCCAGCCAAUUGAUUUAUAACCAGCAUAUAAUCUCUGAAGACUUCAACAGCAUCAGCAUGAACUUCCCUCAGCAAUUCCAAACCCUUUAUCAAAGCUUGAUACACAGCCUGAUUAUUUGUGGACGUGGCAACAAUCGGCAAGGAAAACUCAUACUUCCUUCCCCGAGGGAAAAUUAAUACUAUGCCGAUUCCUGCCCCCCGGUCCCAUGUGGAUCCAUCAAAGAAGAGCGUCCAAGGUACAAUUUCCAAAGCCUCCACUGCACCGCGAUGUUGAGUUACGAAAUCGGCCAUAAUCUGUCCCUUAACCGCUUUGGCCGGUUCGUAACGCAGAUCGAAUUCCGACAGCGCCAAAAUCCACUUACUGAUCCUGCCACUCAUGAUCGGCAUAGACAACAUGUAUCGGACCACAUCAUCCUUGUAGAUAACCGUGCACACGGCCGAUAGCAAAUAAUGCCUUAACUUAAUACAGGAGAAGUACAAGCAUAAGCACAGUUUCUCAAUAGCCGAAUACCUGGUUUCAGCAUCAAUCAACCUCCUGCUUAAAUAGUAAAUCACACGUUCCUUCCCUUCAAACUCUUGAAUUAAAGCCAAACUGAUGACCAUCCCAUCGGUAGACAGAUACAAUCUGAAGGGCUUCCCUUGUUGAGGUGGGAUCAGAAUUGGAGGAUUUACCAAAUAAUUCUUGAUUUCAUCCAAGGCCAGCUGUUAUUCUUUCCCCCAAACAAAUUCUUGAUCGGCUUUCAACUUAAGAAGAGGACUGAAAGCACGAAUCUUACCAGACAAAUUAGAAAUAAAUCUUCUGAUAAAAUUUACCUUGCCGAUCAAGGACUGGAGCUCAGUCUUGUUGGUAGGGGCAACUAUUUUGUUGAUAGCAUCAAUGGAUCUUCGACUAAUUUCAAUCCCCCUUUGAUGCACCAUGAAACCAAGGAAUUGUCCUGCCGAUACACCAAAUGCACACUUAUUGGGAUUCAUCUUCAGACCAUGCUUCCUUGUGCAUUCCAACACUUUUCGCAAAUCGGCAAGAUGCUUGGUGAAGUCUCUAGAUUUGACCACCACGUCAUCAAUAUAAAUCUCCACCAGCUUACUGAUGAACUCAUGAAAUAUAAAGUUCAUGGCCCUCUGAUAAGUAGCACCGGCAUUUUUCAAGCCAAAGGUCAUGACUAUCCAUUCAAACAACCCAACAUGACCAGGACACCUAAAUGCGGUCUUUGGAAUAUCUUCUUCAGCCAUGAAUAUUUGAUUGUACCCUGCAUUGCCAUCCAUGAAGCUAAUGAUCCGAUGCCCAGCCGCAGCAUCAACUAGCAGAUCGGCAACUGGCAUUGGGUAGCCAUCCAUCGGUGUAGCUUUGUUAAGAUUUCUGAAAUCAAUGCAGACCCGAAGCUUCCCAUUUUUCUUGUAGACUGGAACCACAUUGGAAAUCCACUCGGCAUACCGACACUGCCGAAUAAAUUUAGCUUCAAUCAACUUGGUUAUUUUGGCCUUAAUAUCAGGAAGAAUAUUAGGAUUACAUCGGCGAGCUGGCUGCUGAUGUGGCCAAAAUCCAGACUUGAUAGGCAACUGAUGUUCAUCAAUCGAUCGGUCUAAACCAGGCAUCUCAGUAUAAUCCCAAGCAAAGCAAUCUCUAUAUUCCUUUAACAAGUCAGUUAACUGCUGCUUACACUCAGAAUUUAACUUGGCACUAAUAAAAGUAGGCCUAGGUUUAUCACCACUACCUAUAUCUACUUCUACUAGAUCAUCGGCCGAUGUGAACCCCUGGCCUAAUUUUCCAUCAUCGGCGAACCUAUCCAUUAAAAACCAUCUUCAGAACCGACUGCUUGGAUCGGUGGAAUUUCAUAAUCGGCAACCUUGAGGAAAUCCUUUUCCCAAGCUUCUCCUGAAAUACACCUAGUCCUUUCAUAGGUGUCUGCCUCUGCCGAUGCGAUGACAUAAGAAGAAUCUCCUCGGACAAUCUCAAUUUUAUCACCUAUCCACUGAACCAAGCACUGGUGCAUUGUAGACGGGAUGCAACAAUUGGCAUGAAUCCAAUCUCUUCCCAACAGUAAGUUGUAGGCACCCUUUCCACUGAUCACGAAGAAGGUUGUCGGCAAGGUUUUACUGCCGAUGGUCAAUUCUACGCAUAUUGCCCCCUUAACUGGAGACACAUUCCCUUCAAAGUCUUUGAACAUCAUAUCGGUCUUGGUCAAAUCCUGAUCUCCUUUCCCAAGUUUCCGAUACACUGCGUAUGGCAUAAUGUUGAUAGCCGCUCCACCAUCGACUAGAAUCUUGGUCAUUGGCUGACCAUCCACUCUCCCUUUGACAAACAGAGCUUUAAGGUGCUGCCUUUCAUCAUCGGCAGGCUUCUCAAAGAUGGCGGUCAUCGGAUCUAGAGCCAACUGAGCUAUCAGGUUGGAAAACUCCAACUAAUCAUCAUUGGGUGGUGCAAGGAACUUCAUCGGCAACAUAAAUACCAUGUUGACGUCUGCCGAUGGACCUUUCCCCUCAGGAUCUGGUUGUUGCUGAUCCCCAGACUGUCCAACGUUCUCCCCCUUGCUUAACUCUUCUCGCCUUUCACGCUGCAAUCUUCUUUUCUGUGUCCUGGUCAACCCCUCUGGACACCAUGGAGGAAGUUGCUGCUGCCUUACCGCUGGGCGACGAUUUUCCCUUGACUCCAUCCGAUAAGUGUUGGCAUCCCUACAGAAAAUGAACUCAUCGGGAACCCGCGCAUUAGCCAUCUCUUCAAGUUCUUCCUGGUUCCUAGGGAAAUAUCCAACUCGAUCGCCGAGCCUGUCAUGCACACUGAGCCUGCCCCCCAGCCGAUCAUGAACGGACGCUCUCCCCCUAAUCGGCCCAUUAAACCGCCGAUCAUCAUCACGAUAGUGCCGAUCGGCCCUAUCAUACCGAUCAUAACCGUUGCACUCAGGACAAUCUCUGACAGUGGGAAGUUUGAUAUUUUCCUCCCAACAAUGUAUGAAGAAUGGGCAAUUCCAGUUAUCCCUAUGCCGAUUCCACUCCAGUCGGUGUCUUUCCUCUUCCCGACGAUAAUCCUCUUGCUGGCGCCGGUACCGAUCAUCACGUUGCUGCCAAGUCUCCCGAGGCCUUCUGUGAGUUAUCACAAUACCAGACCGGGGAGGCCUCCCUGAGUUAGAUCCCUCUUGAAUCAGGCCUUUUCCUUUCGCAUCGGCAGUAGUGAUCUGAUGUUGAGGAUCCACCGAUGCAUUUCUUUCAGCUGCUUCUGAUGUUAAGACCUUGGCUUUUCCCUUGGCAUCCAGCAUGUUUGUUGGGAAAGGAUGUUGAUCAAUCUUCAUCGGCUUCUGAGCUUUGGAGCUGUCAAAUUUGAUCCUCCCUGAUUCUAUAGCCGAUUGCAGCUGUUGCCUAAAAACUUUGCACUCAUUGGUGCUGUGAGAAGUUGCAUUGUGCCAUUUACAGUACUUAAUCUUCUUCAACUCCUCAGCUGAUGGGAUCACAUGAUUUGGUGACAAUUUGAUCUGACCUUCCUGAAGUAGAAAGUCAAAUAUCCGAUCGGCCUUAGUGAUGUCAAACGUGAACUUCUCUAGCUCUUUAUGCCCAAAAGGGCAAGACAUCGGCUUCUUGUUUUUCACCCAUUCCGCCAAGCCGAUGACUAGUUCUUCAUCAGAAUCCGAGCUCGCUGCUUCAUCGACAAAGGACACCUUCUUGUUCCAUGCUCUCUUGGGCUCGAAAGGCUUUAUAUCUUGAUCAGAAAUUCUCUGCACCAAAUGACUUAAGCUUUCAAAUUCCUGAGAUGCAUACUUGUCCCGGAUAUGCGGCAACAAACCCUAGAAAGCCAAAUCGGCUUGCUGCCGAUCAUCUAAACGCAGACUAUAGCAUUUAUUCUUGACUUCCCGCAGUCUCUGUACGAAGCUCUCAACCGAUUCAUCAUUGCGCUGCUUCAACCAGACCAAAUCGGUGAUCUUCUUCUCGUGAACCCCAGAAAAGAAGUAUUUGUGAAACUGCUUUUCUAGAUCGGCCCAAGUAAUCACUGAGUUAGGAAGUAAUGAUAUAAACUUGGUGAAUGUCGAUCCAGAUAAUGAUGACGAGAACAACCGAACCCUUAAUUCGUCCCGGUUAGCAGCUUCUCCACAUUGGAUGAUGUACCUAUUGACAUGCUCCAUAGUCGACGUAUCAUCCUGUCCAGAGAACUUAGUAAAAUCCGGCACUUUGUACCGAUUUGGAAGCGGGAUUAAAUCAUAUGCAGGAGGAUACGGUGUCCGAUAAAAGUAAGUAUUGACUUUGGGUUUUAUUCCAAACUCGUCUCUCAUUACUUCAGCAAUCUUAUCGGCCCAAUAAGCAUUGGCAUCUUGCCGAUGAGGCGGUUGUGUUACAUCCCCGAUGUUACGGUUACUAAAACUGGAUCAUGUCAUCAUGAGCAUUGCAUUGCAUAUUUGUUAAGCACAUUUUUUAUGCAUCAAAUUAAAACAAGUUUAUUUUGAAUGCUUGUGCUUAUAAAAGUAAAGUGUGCUUAUGUUGUGAAGUGAUGCUUGUGUUGGUUGUUUAAUCCCUAGGGUGAAAGAUUUCCGAGAGACUAGGGGGGGAAACCCGUGAUUUUAGAACCCUAGAAAUGCCCCCUUUUGUGCAAUUUAAAAACUAAGCAAAAUUUGAAGUUGUGUUCAAAAGCAAAGUUGUAGAUCUUGUCAAGAUGUACAACUUUGGUGUUUUGAGUUUUUGAAGUUUCAAUACAAAAUUCGAAGUAAUUUUGAAAAUACAGAUUUCCAGAAAGUGUCCCCUUUUCCAUUUUGAAUCUCCAAUUCAAAAUCUGUUUGGAAUUUUGAAAAGUGACCAACAUGAAAGUUGUAGAGCUCAAAAAGUUGAACAACUUUCAUGUUGGGAGUUUUUCAAGUUGUUGUGGAAAAUCAAAAGUAAUUUUGGAAGUUCUGAUCUGCCCCAAUUCAAAAAUUAGAAUUUCCCUAAAUUGAGAUUUGAAUUCCAAACUGUUUGCUCAAAUUCACUAAUUUCCACUCAGAUUUAGCUUUGGUCACCAAAAGGAGUUUUGUAGCUUGUAGAAUUCUGCACAACUUUCAUUUUGGUGGAAUUUUGUCUUCAGUUCAGAAUUUGGUCGGAUUUUGCAAAACCACAAAACGGGUUGGAUAAAGCUCGCUGCAGUGAUCCGAUAGGGAUCACGGCGCCCCUGUCCAGCGCGGCCGCCGCGCGUGCAGCGCCGCGCGCAUGCGUGCGUGCACGCAGCCUGCUUGCCUGCCAGUGUCGCCAGGCGACGUGGAAGCUGGGCGUCUCCUCCGUUCGUGAUAUAAGCCACUCCACCGACUGACGUGCUCCGUUUAUUUCUCUCGUGCCCGACGCCGGUGAACUUCGUCGCCCACAAAAUUCGUCGUGUCCACUCCCUGUCCGAGCCCCCAAAGCACCUCCAGAGCUUCGCCUUGAGCUCAGCUACUCCCUGGACCCUUUGUCGCGAGCUCUAGCCUCCCCUAGCCCGCAACCGAGCCGUUCUCCUUCAACUCCGGCCGAAGCACCGCCGCAAGUACUUCACCGCGGCCAGAGCUGCUCCAAGCCUUUCCAUCGCCGCUUGUUGCUCCGUUGAAGUCGCGGUGAGCCCCUGAAUCUUAUGUGCUGGUUGGUUCGCGUUCUACCCGCUUGCAGUGUCCGGUGCUCGCGCCGUUAGUGUCGCCGUCCGCCGUGGACAUGAGCAGGAGGGUUAGGAGGGAGUAGGGGUUGUUCCUGUGUCCCAGGGGUUGCGCGAGAGGCCGAAGGUGCUAGCCCACCCUACCGUGGAGGCCGGGAGCUCUCUGGCGAUGAGCUUGAGCUCACCGGAGCCGCGUCGGUAGGUGGAAGGAGAAUCUGACAGGCGGGACCCGCCCAUCAGUGGCCGCAUGAGAGGAGCAGCGCCCGCGCGCGACGCGGGAGGUUCUCGGGCCGUCUUGGGCCAAAGCCAAGCGGGCCGGCCGCAUAGCGCAGUGUGUUUUUCCUUUUUCCUUUUUGUUUAAAAAUGCUUAAUGUUUGAAUUUGAAUAGAAAAUCUUGUACUGAUUCAAAAAUCAUGGGAAUUUUUGUGUAGGUUCUAUGAAAUGAGUAGAACACAGGAAAAAUAUUAGGUUCUAUUUUCUGGUAGUUUGCACAUGUAUAAAAGUUACCUCUUUUAAUUGGCAAAUAAAACUUCUAUGAAUUUUAAUAAUUUAAUUGUAUGUCCAAAAAUCACCAAAAUUUGUGGGAUGCCUCUGAAUAUUAUUCCCUGGCUUCACACAAAAUUUGGUGGAAUUUGGAUAAUGUUUGAAUAAAAUAUUAUUAAACCAUUAAUUAGUAAUUAAAUAAUAAUUCUAGAAUAAUUAGAUAAUAAUUAGUUAAAUUCUCAAAUUAGGAUUUGAGUGAUUUUGGGAUUGUGUGAUGACCUGAGGUCAUUAACCUUAAUGACCUUUGGCGUUUAAUUAUUGUUUGGCAUUAAUGCUUAAUUACCGUCAUUAAUACUUAAUUAAGAAUUAAUUAAGAUAAAAAGGAUUAAUAAUUAGUUAAUUUAGGUUAAUUAUGAAUUAAGAGGAAUCAUAGUUUACAGAUGCAACCUCUUGGGUAAAGACACUAAGAUGAUAAACAACUUUAGUUAUUGAUUAGUAAGUGUUGCACCGGGAAGGCCCGUUGUAGUUAACUCGGUCCUUCUUAAAUGUCCAUCAUACGCAUAUCAUGAGCAUCCAUCAUUUUGCGUAUAGUGCACGUGACCGAAGGAGUGAUCGUUGAACCAAACCCCGAGGUCGGUGCUCCGUUCGAGGAAGUAAGAUCCGAGACUUGGGAAGUCUCCGAGGAACCCUCUCAGCUCUGCAACCAAGGCAAGCCCCGGAUGCAUUAACCCCUCCUUGAAUGUUUUAAAUCUUUUAUCACUUAUGAAUUGAAAAUGCUGCAAUAGGUAGUUGAGAAUUCGGUUAACCUACUUGCUGCAUUUACUACCUUGAUAUUUGUUAUCCUGUCCUUGACACCUGUUUUAUUUUAAAAUCGCGUAGUAAUGCUUAGCCCUGCUACUAGAUAGGUUUUCAACCAAGAAAGUUUGAAGGGUUGUUGUGGAAUACACUUAUGGUCAAUGAUGUUUCAACUUGAGACCGGUCGGUGGACUUACUUUAAGAAUGGAGUCUUAAAGUAGUGUCUCCAACUAUGUCGGUUAAGGACCGGUCCGUUGAUGGCCCGCUGGGUUGAGAAUUUAUAGUACUAGCCACUUACCCUCGGUAAGCCUGGUCUUGUGAUCCCUCGAUGUGAACAGCUACUCGCGCAUUGGGCGUGGAGCGAUGGCGAGAGUAGUGUGUACCCACCUUAUGGAUCUGAGAUGACCGGAAAACAUCUAGAUCGGCUGUAGGAUGGUGGAGUACUGUGCUCUCGGGUGCCAUGAACCUAGUCAAAUUUGGGGAGAGCUUGAUUUGGGUUGACAUAUGCAAGAUUUGGUUCUACAUAUGUCGGGUGGUUAGGAACUCCAGCUGGAUUGCUAAGAAGUUCGAAUCGUCGUUGCUCUCCGAUUGGGACACUCAAUCCACUGACCCUCAUCGUAGCUAAAUAUGCAACUAAGUGAUAAAAUGAGGAAGGGGGAAAUGUCUCAUGAGGUUCGGAUCCCAAUUCCCGGACUCAGAGUGACAUGAAUCUAUGGCCGUUGGAUGGAUAAUACUUUGAUUUAGGACUAGAAACUCACAGACUCAUCUGUGGGAGGCAACUAGAUAGACUGUCCUCGAACUCCUCGGCCUCUUAAGGAGAGGAAUUCGCGGGUAAAACUUGAAAGUAAGGAUGCACUAUUAGUAAGCUUUUUAGCAAAACACUUUGGCUCCUUGCUCAGCCACUCCUUGCCUACCCCAAGCCUGCAUUCCUAAUUUCUCCUCUUUUCCCGCCGGGUAAGUCUUGUUGAGUACUCCCGUACUCAGGGUUUUAUAACCCCUGUUGCAGGUGAAGCUCAGGAGCCGACAUGUUUCGGACCCUGUUGUGUGUCUGUCGUCGAGGUUGACGACGAGGAAGAGUGAGCGUGACCCAUGGGCAGGGUCUGUAAAUUUGUAAUUGGUGUACUAAAGUUUAAGUUGCUCCACUGGGCCUGGCUUGUAAUAACACUACUAUUUGGAAGAAAUCCUUUUGUAAAUUAAGUUAUGUAAUACUUCCGCUGUUUUACUCUAAAAUAUUAUUUUGGUCUUGUGUCGUCUGUGAUACUGCAAUGUCUUCACAACGAGUGAUCCUGGUGUUAAGGUGGCCACUUGCUAUCCUGUAAGGGCGAGAAGAAGAAAUUUUCAUUAAUGGACCACUGCUGGUGGUCAAGACGAGCUUGUUUGAUACGCCACAGGUAGCGGUGGAAUGAGCGUCCUGAGAUGCUCAUCGGACUUCUAGAGUGGGAGGAUCCCCAGCAUCACCGUCAGAGGUCCUUUGGAUAAUGACAGGUGUCGGUGGGCCCAAACACUUAGGAGGUUCUGCCACAGCUGGUAUCAGAGCAUUCGUUGCAAAGAUGACUGCUGUAUCCUUUGAAAAACUUCAAAAUCAUUUGGAUCCAAUACUAUAAACUUGCCUAUUUUGAGUCCAAGUGCUUUAGUCCUAUCUUACCCCUGUCUGUAGGCCUUCUUAGAACUUUUGAAGUGGUAUGGAGGAGCAACAUAGAGUAUUGCCCUAUGUUGUAAAAAAAUUUGAAGUAGUAUUGUUAUGAAUUGCCAAUAGGAAUCGUAAGUACGUGCAUGCAUCAUGAUAUAAUACUUGGUUAAAUUCCUUCCUCCUUGUUCGGGUUGGGUUGUAUAGAAUCAAUCCCAUUCUUGCUAACCUUCAAAGUCUCCCUUACUAAUCCAAACUUACCCUCUAUAGGAUGGCUCGUUGGAAGCAGACCCCACGCAAGAGAACUGGUCCAAAAGGGGUCCCUAGACACCAGUUGGCCCCGCGAGGCGAUCAAGCAAGCAGUAGCUGUUCACCGCCUCAGCAGGAGGUGGAAAGGUUGUCCGCCGAGCUAACCGAAGUGACGAGAGAAAGGAUGUACAACGUCAUGGAGAUUGGCGAACUGAAAGCUCAACUAUUAAAACAAAAACAAGCCACAGAGAACUGCGAGGCCAUGCUGUCCCGUAUGGUGGAGGAGAGGAAUGCCGCUAUUGCCCGAGAAGAGGAGGCCAGGAGCGCACACAGGCACGAGCUGACCAGGAUGAAGGCGAAGCUGGACAAAACCAUGUACCUUAAAGAUCUGUACGUGAAGAUGACGGCCACUGUCACCGCGCAGAGGGAUGUCUCGUGGCAGUGGGAGGACCAACUACAGCUGGAGAAGCUGGAGCUGGCACACCAUUUAGACAUCGUCAACGAUUUGGCAAUGCAAUACAGUGAUGUUGCAUUUGAUCUAUACCAUCAGCUCCAUCCACCUCCAGGUGAAGGAGAGAUGGAUACGGACGGAGAGGUAGCGGAUGCUGGGGAACCUGACCAAGACCUCAGUGAUGAGUAGGAAUUUGACUCCGGUGAUGACAACCCGGGGGGUAAUCAUGACGAUGGCGAUGACGACCCGGGCUACAGCUCUGGCCACACCGACUAGUUCGGUGAAGCCGCGGGCAACAUCGUUGUAGGAUUCCUAGUUUACCGUAGUGGGGUCGGGUCUGUAGUAUAAAGUUUUCUUUCAGUUUAAGAAGUUAUACUCGUUUGUUUCCAGGGUGUUGAACUGAUGUUUGAUAAAUAAGUGGAAGUAUGUAAGAUAUGUUCUAAGUUAUGAAUUUCAUGUGGUAACAAGUACAUAUGACUCUUGUAGCAGAUGCCGAUGCGUACUCGUGGAUCUGAUGGAGCUGGGUCCUCUCAGGGAGGGGAUGAUAUCCCCAACCCUCCACCUGCUCCACCUUCCCUGGCUGAUGCCAUUGCUGUUCUUUUGAGUGCCACUACUGACAACACUCGCUUGUUGCGCGAGUUAGCACAACACCAACCACACCCCGCACCAAACUUCAGAGCACAGCAAAAUGGGGAGGGAGAAACUCGGUACGUGGACUUUACCGAGACAAGGCCCCCGGUAUUCAUCAAGGCUGAUGAGCCCUUAGAUGCUGAUGACUGGCUGCGAACAAUGGAGCACAAGUUCAGUCUGAUCCGAUGUUCGGAAACUCAGAAGCCCUUGUUCGCAGCUCAACAGCUUCGGGGAGCUGCGGGUGCCUGGUGGGAGAAUUUUCUAGCUAUCCAAGGUCGAGGACACCAGGUCACCUGGACAGAAUUUAAGGACGCGUUCCGCGCCCACUAUAUCCCCGAAGGGCAUAUGGCCAUGAAGGCUGAAGAAUUUCUCGCCUUGCAGCAAGGCGAUAAAAGUGUCAUGGAGUACGUGGCAAAAUUUAAUCAUCUUUCUCAAUAUGCCACAGACCAUGUGAACACGGAUAGAAAGAAGAAGGCUUGUUUCAUGCGUGGUCUCAAUACCAAACUUCAGACAAUGAUGACCACAUGCCCAAAUGCUACUUUCUACAAGGUGGUAAAUAUUGCCAUCGCCUCAGAAGAAAACAAUAGAAAGCACAAAGAAGCCAAGAAGAAGGCUGCCUCUUCCUCCUUCUCUGGUCGCGGUCAAAAGUGCCAGAAAAUCAUUUAUCAUCCGCAGGGCCACGGACGCUUUCAAGCGCCGUCACCUUAUCGUGGUCCCUUUUCCCCUCCAUAAUAUAGACCAGGGCAGCACGUAUAUCCUCGACCUACUGCCAUCGCCACUGCACCACGCCAGCCGAACGCCCCAGGUGUUCGCCCCACUGCUCCGCCCAACCACAAUUAUCCUUGUUUCAAUUGUGGUAAGCCUGGGCAUUUUUCUAAAGAGUGCCCCUACCCCCACCAAACCAACCCUACUUUCCAAAGGCCACCCAUGGGCCAACCCCAGCCGAGCCAAUUCAGGACUGGGGCUCAGAAAGGACAAAAUGUGCAAAGGGGUAAACCAGCAAAGAAAGUGGGACAAGUCAUCCAUACAGAGGUGGAGACGAUCCCGGAGGGAGAACCAGUAAUGAUGGGUACGUUUCCUGUUGCAAAACAUCCUGCUUUAAUGCUUUUCAAUUCUGGUGCAUCUCAUACAUUCAUCAACUGCACCUUCGUGAUAAAGCAUGGCAUACCCAUUGGGGAAACAAAAGAUCAUUUUUAUAUACAGUCGCCAGGAGGACGGCUGAGUUCUAAAGAAAUGGUUCACUAGAUACCCAUCGAAUUUGGUGGGCAUAGUUUUCCCACUAGCAUGAUUGUUCUUAAAGAUCAGGAGAUUGAUGUCAUACUAGGCAUGAACUGGAUGGCGCAACGAGGGGUUGUGCUAAAAACUUUGCAUCGAACCAUUAAAAUACCAUUGCCCAAUGAGAAUUCUUAUCUUCUAAUUCAAUUAGUUACUCCCAAACGGGCAAUUGGGCAAGUUCAUGCCACCAAUGUGUCGGUAGUCAAAAAUAUCCCGGUAGUUCAGGAUUUUCCAGAUGUAUUUCCUGAAGACCUACUAGGUCUGCCACCGGACCGGGAUGUCCAGUUCAGUAUAGAAUUGAAACCAGGGACGGCCCCAAUAUCUCGAAGGGCCUACCGAAUGGCACCAAAAGAACUGGCCGAAUUAAAAUCCCAACUACAAGAGCUGUUGCAGAAAGGUUUUAUUCAGCCCAGUUCCUCUCCAUGGGGUUGCCCAGCCUUAUUUGUGAAAAAGAAAGAUCAAACAUUAAGGCUGUGUGUCGAUUAUCGUCCCCUGAAUGAGGUGACGAUUAAGAACAAGUACCCAUUGCCCCUUAUUGACUUACUAUUUGACCAGUUGGCCAGGGCUAAAGUAUUCUCAAAGAUUGAUUUGAGAUCAAGGUACCAUCAAAUCAAAAUCAGGUCGGAGGAUGUACCCAAAACGGCUUUUACAACCCGUUAUGGGCUGUAUGAAUACUUGGUGAUGUCUUUUGGGUUGACCAAUGCACCGGCCCAUUUCAUGUACUUAAUGAACUCUGUCUUCAUGCUAGAACUGGACAAAUUCGUGGUCGUCUUCAUUGAUGACAUUUUGAUCUACUCCAAAACUAAGAAAGAACAUGCUGAACAUCUGAGAAUUGUGCUGACCCGUCUUAGGGAGCAUCAACUAUAUGCCAAGUUUAGCAAAUGUGAGUUCUGGCUGGACAAAGUCCAUUUCCUGGGGCAUGUAUUAUCAGCGGAGGGAGUCGCUAUAGACCCAGGUAAAGUAGAAGAUGUGUUGAAUUGGAAGCCCCCGACUACGGUACAUGAGGUCCGUAGUUUUCUGGGUAUGGCGGGAUAUUACCGUCGCUUUAUCCCGGACUUUUCAAGAGUCGCCAAACCAAUCAUGACCUUGCUCAAGAAUCAAACAAAAUUUGUUUGGUCAUUUGAAUGUGAGCAAGCCUUCCAGACUCUGAAAAGAUUAUUGACAAUUGCACCUGUAACACCCUAGGUGUUAAGCAUGCACUUAGUCUCACCAAAGCCCUGCAUAAGCAUUCCAUCAAGCAUAAGCAUCAUGAGCAUGACACUCUUGUCAAAUUAUGAUUUUAUGUGCUUCAUUUCAUGUGUUUUAAAUAUGUUAAAAAUAUGAUACUUGCUCCUAAAAUUGUGAAAAAUUCAAAUUAGGUUGAUUUAUGUGUGAGAAGCAUUUAGAAUAUUUUUGUGCAAUUUUUGGAGCUAUGGAAUUUGAGAAAUGGAAUUUAUACAAAAAUAUCCAAAAAGAAUUUAAUUAAAACCUAGAACUGAGUUUUAACUUGUAAUUCAAAUUCUGUUUGGAAUUUGGUCUUGCUUGUUAAAACAAAGUGGUAGAGUUUUUGUUUUGGAACAACUUUGCUUUUGGGAGCAAGAGGUGAAAAUGAUUUUAAAUUGGUCCAAAUGAAUUUAGAAAGAAUUUGGAGAAAAGAAAUUUCAAAAAAAAAAAGGAAAGGGGGCAGGCGCUGCUGGGCCGACCCGCCUCCCUUCUGGCCCAGCUGGGCAGCGCGGCCUGCUCCCCCUCCCCUCUCUCCCGCGCGCGCGGCGCCCGCCUUGUUCCACCCGGCGCCGGCCACGUGGCGGCCGUACGCCGGCGUUGGACGCGCCGCGGCCGGCCUCCAACCCCCCCCUGGUCGAGACGCCGGCGCUGGCUCCCAGACCACUCGCCCGUUCUGUCCCCCCCGCGCCCUCCUUCUCCUUCCUCCUCCGCUCGAACCGCGCCGCAGCAGCCGCUCCUCCGCACGCCAUUGCCGGAGAGAGCUCCGCCGCUCGUCGCCGGCCACACCAGAGCCUCAAGCUCGACGCCGAGGGCACCAGGGCACUCGCCGUCGCUAGGGUAAGCUCGUGCGAACGUUCUACCGAGGUGAGAGUCCGUCGAGCGCCGUGAAUCGCUCGCCGGAGUUACCCCGAGCUCGCCGGAGUACUCCGCCGCGGUGGAUCUAGCGUUUCCCUGCGUCUUUUCGCUCGUUCUCUGUUGCGCUAGGUCGGUAGGAAGGUGAGGAAGCUCGGAGAGGCGUUUGUGCACGCUCUACCGCGCCGGAGCAGCCUGGCCACGGCGAGCAGCGCCGCCGUGCCGCCAUGCAUGCUCGCCGGAGGUGUUCCGGCCGUCCUCUGGUCGAUCCAAGGGUACCGCUGGGUGCGCCUCGCUGCGGGGAGCACGUUGGUGCUCACCCCGUGGCCGGAGACCUCACCGCCGGCGAGAUCCGCUCGUCGGAGGUGAGCUCCCUCUCGGUCUCGCUGACUGGUGGGGUCGGGGACCCACUGUCAGUCGCAGGGGUACCCCGGUGGGUGUAGAUCUGGGUGAGGUAGCGUUUUUCGUCGGUUUUCUUGAAAAAGUAUUUUCCAGAAAUUGAUUUAAAGUUUGUAAAAUCUAUAUCUUGAGUUCUACAGCUCCAAAUUGAAUGAGAUAAAUUUUGGUGUGCUCUAUAUUUCCAGAUCUACAGUUGGAUGUAAUUGCAUGUCAUGUUGGAGCAACUUUUCUGUGUGAAUAUAUUUUAUCCAUGAUUUUGUUAAACUUGGAAAAUGCAUAGUAAAUGGAAUAUGGCUCAGAAAAAUGUGAAACUUGUUUUGCUGGCUCUGCAUGUGUGUUUACUCACUAAGAAAAUAUUGUUACAUAUUAUUUGGUGUAUAAAUGAAUUUAUGGUAAUUUAAAUGCUUGCAUGGCAGUACUUUAUGAUUUUUAAUAAUUAAUUGAGUCAUGCAAUAAAUCUGGAAAAUUUUGUGGAUGUUUCUUAUGAUAUUAGACAAAUUGUAAAAAUAUGAAAUCUGUUGUUUGACACUCAUAUCACAGUAGGGUGAUUAUACUUGCCUUAUCCAUUAAUCUUGUGAUUUUUGUGGCUCAAAAUAAGUAACCAAAAAUUAUGAAAAAUUUACAGUAGACUUUAUGAUUAGCUAGUAGUCUCCUGUAAUUUUUCUAGAAUUUAUUGAUGAACAGAAUUGCAUGUGAUUUUUAAUGGGCUUAGAAAUGAAUAAAGAAAAUUUUGAAUGGUUGUGUAUGUGGGUUGAAUGGACUAGGUUGGGUUUGGUGUAUCUUUGAAGCAUCAUGUAGGUUGCUGAUGUCAUUUGAAAAAUAAUUAUAGAAGAGAAUGUAAUAGAUGUUUGAUUCAAUUGUUUAUUCUUGGAUGAUGUUGACUACCUUGUAAUAAGCAUGACCAAGUACAUUACCUAUGCAUCAUAACAUGACUCCUUUGGUACUCUCUCAUAUAAGCAUCCACUCGGGCAUUCCGCACUCCACUCAUGAGCAUAUAUGCAUCAUACAGGCUCGCAGGAGAACGAGGUGGGAACCAAGGAACCCGAGGAGCUUCAGGAGCAGGAACCUCCGGAAGCACAAGAGCCCGGAGAGGAACUGCAGGAGUGUCCGGAUCACAGACCCAGCACGUUUGAGAAAGACAAGCCCCGGAGCAUUCUAAGUCUCCCUAUUCUCGCUAACUUAUAUAAAGUGCUAUACUUAUUCUACUAUAUUGCAUAUUAAGUGAUAGGAGUUGCCUGAUACCGUUGCUGCAUAUGUACUCCUUGUUAUCCCUACUCGUUAUCUACCUUGUCCUAUGUAGAUAGGCGCGGAGUCUAUGCUUAGCUUGCUUAGUCUGGUAGAAGUCAGGUGAUGUCCUGUCAUCUGCGAGAUAUAGGUGGAUACCUGCUUGAUUAAGCAUUGGUUGCUCGGGGAAAGGAAUAACCCAGGGUGGAAUGAAUUUGGAGACCGGGCAGGGUCUUAUGGUGGGUUGACCAUAGUGCCCCUGUCUGUGUCGAUUAAGGACCGAUCGUUGACGGCCCUCUUGUCAUGUUGAACGCAUGCUCCACAUUUAGCUGGAAGGAUAAGUCGUUCCGACCGUGAAGCCUGAGCACUAUCCGGGCCGGGAAUCGGCCCGAUGUACGCGCUGUAUUGGUGAUGGUCGAAGAGAACGACGAGGGCGCGGCGCGCAACCUUGGUAUACCUUGGAUACCUCGGUCGCCGGAACGGUCCUCGGGUACGGGCGGUGCCUGUCGAACCCACGAAUUGGUCCUGGAUAGUGCAACACGGUGACCUGUAGCUCACUUGAUCAGUGAGUGUGGUUUGUGUGGGGAAUAAAGUCGCCAGCUGGUUAGAAAUCGAUUCGAAUCGCCAUCGCUCCUGGAUAGUGAGCACUUGACAUAAGCUUCGUCCUCGUAGUAAGGACUAUGGAACACUUGGGUUAUAAUGAAACGGGUUUAUGACUGCUGUGAUGAGGUACUAUCAUAAUCUCAUACUUGCUUGUAAUAGCACAGGAGCAAACCUAGAUAAUAGGUAAUGAUACUUUCAACUUGAGCAGAUUAAAAGAAGAAAAGAAUUAUGUAGGUUCGGAUAAUAAAACCUUGCGGUCUUUGCAAAAUGGUUGUCAGCUACCCCACUAAAUAGCCUUCAUGAUCCUUGAUGAGUCUUUAUUUUAAGUUUAUGACGGGUAAGUCUAGCUGAGUACCUUCUCGUACUCAGGGUUCUAUUCCCAUGUUGUUUUGCAGAUGGUCAAAUGUACUAUGGUUAUUGCAUCCUCUGUCUGUACCCAGCUAUGGGUGAUGACUAGACCAAGGGUGAUGGUCACUCCGUCUCUUCUUUUGCUUUUGUGGGAAUGACCGAACUAUGGCACUGUAUCAGACUUAUCGUGUGUGUUGUAUUUUCGAACUAUGAAGCUUCCGCUACUUGAAGAACUUGGUUUGUAAUAACUUUAAGCACUCCGAUGUAUUUAUGAAUGUUGUAAUCUGGAUGUGAUUGUGGAUGGCGACCGCUAAACUUAUUACGAUCUUGGCUGUAUAUGUGAUGUGUGGUUUGAAAUCCUUCGAGAUUUCACGGACUACCGGGAUUAUAUGGGCUUAAGCGUGAUAGUUCGACUAUGCAAAUGGUCACUAUUAGGCUUAAUCUCUUAUAAUUUGGUCGGUUCUGUUACAGCUGGCAUCGGAGCAAGGUUUAGCGAGUUACUGUUCAUAAGUACGUUCUAAACAAAAGUCUAAACCGGUUUAAUGAAAGAUUUUAGUAAUUAAUAAAGAUCAAGGUGUUAAACUAAGUUUUGGAAAACUAUCUAGUGUGCCAUGGUCAUAUCCUUUAUGCCCAGUUAAGGACUCUAAGGUGGCUAGCUAAGUACUGACUUGGGGGUUAGUGCAUCAUAUUUUUAUUUCGUCGCUCAUACGGCGUGCAAUAGUAUGAGUGCCAUUCAUUUGAGUGGUAAUGUAUGGAUCAAUUCUUCCUCUACGCCAUGGUAAGUGGGAGUUGUGAGAGCAUGAUCGGAUACACUGCCGGUCUAGGGAAGUGUUGUCAGGUGCUGUGUCAUGCACACAUGUUGGUGUGUCUUGGGAACAGUACCGCAUGCUGGGAAUUCCGUCCUGAGAGGCGAUGCCGUCAAUAGGGCGAUGAUGUGGGUAGUGGCACGUCACAUGCAUGGACGGGUGUCUGUGUAUGUGAAGUGCAUGGUUUUAAAUUCUUGCUCUGCAUGAUCAUAUUGUGGGUGGGCUGAAAUGAGUUUUCUGCAGGUACACUAACCACGUUCUCGCUUAGAACGCUAGUUACGUAUGAGAGAACGUUGGGUGCCACCGCAUAUACCGCUUAGUGUUAACCUUUGUUUCAAAGUUUGUGAGAUAGUAAGUUCGUGCAUGCAUCAUGUUCAUUUCAUAUCAUUGCUUACUUCCCCCUUAAUUUAAUCUGUCCCAAUUCUAAAUAAAAUAAUUAAAGGUAAUCCUCGCUCUUACCCACGGUGUUCCAUUUGCAGCAGAUGGCACGCACUAGGCUCACCGCUCGCAAGUCCACUGGUGGGCGGGCCCCUCGCCAUCCGUUGGCAGCUAGGAGCUCGCGACAUAAGAGCAAGUUCCUAGAGGAGUUUGGGAUGCCCACUUUGCUUUGGAGGGUGCUCAGUUCGAUGGGGUAUCCCGAAGGAAGGGAGCCUCACUACUAUUGGGAUAAGGAGCCGCUUGGUGACGAGACCCUGGUGGGGAUUGAGGCAGUUGUCCCUACCAGUGGAGGAGACCCUGCUUGGGGCGGCUGGGUGUACGAGUCCCGAGGUGUCACGCCUUUCCACGGUGCCAGCAGGGCAGCUUUCGCAGUUUUGAGGGACCUCAUGGAGAGGUUUCCACAGGAGCUGGCCCACGCCUUCGCUGGGGUGUUUCCCCGGGGUGACCCUUACACUUCGGUGUGGGAUCAAUCCGAGGUGAAUGCUCUAGAGAGGAGUGCGGAUGAGGACCAGCACAGUGACAGUGCAGCUAUGAGUGCCAUGUACGCGUUGAUGAAGACCUAUGGAGGCCUGGAGCGUUGUUUGGGUCGCUUGUCCGGGUCUCUUCUCACCGUCCAGGAUGAGAAGCGUCAGUUGCAGCGUGAGUUUGACUCUGAGGUUGAGAGGCUACAGGCAGAGUUGGCUCGUGUGACCAGAGAGAGAGACCAGGCAGUCCAGAAGAACAGUGAGCUGAGUCAGGACCUGCUUGCAGUACGGGAGCAGAAGGACAGGGUGACUACUGCUCACAGGAACUGCGAGCGCAUGCUAGUCCAUGUGCUUGGACAGAGGAAUGAAGCCUGGCACGAGGAGGACACUUUGAGGGCCCGACAGCUAGAGCUAGAGCAGCAGCUAGCUAAUGCCGAGGAGUACAAUGAGAACUUGCAUGAGGAGAUCCACCAGCUGCAUAACCAGCUCCACCCUCACCACCUACCUGGAGCCGCGGAGCUAGACUCUGAGGACGAGAUGGAUGCGGAUCCCGAGCUAGGAGCAGCUGCUAGUGGUGACGAGGAUGAGGAUGGCUCUGGCAUGGACAGUGACCACAGCGAGUAGAUGCUAGGGCUCUAGAGCUAGUCUUCCCUCUUUUGUGAUGUAUGUUGCGUGGCAUGUCAUGUACUUUUGGAUCUGGGCUGUGUAAGACUUUAUGAGUUGAUACGGAAAGUCCAGUGUAUGUAUGCUGGCAAGUUGGAUGUACGCGAACCUUGUUGCGUGGAUGAUAAGUAAUCUGUUAGUGAUGUUGUGCGUGGAUAAUGAGUUGUUGUGCCUUUGUUUAUUGUGUGAAUUUAUUCCUUCAGUAAAUUCAGUAUGGCACGAUUUUACACAUUUUCUACCGGUUGAUGGCAACUCCUAACGAUUGCUUAUCAUUGGCGUAUGCAGAUGGUACAAACACGUGGCGGGGGUAGCAGCAAUCCGGGCCUUGGAACAGGUACAUCCGGAGGUGGGUCUCAACGGAUUGAGGACAGAGCACCAACACCGCCACCACCACCGCCUCCCCCGUACACUGCGGAUGUGUUUUUCGCGCAGUUUCUGGGAAGCCAACGCAACAUGGAACAGAUGCAGCGCAACAUGGAAGAAGCUUUGCGCAACAUAGCUGACAACACCCGUCGUGGAGAUAAUCAGGGUGGUCGGGAGGUUAACCAGUACAGUUCGUUCAAGGACUUCAUGGAUACCAAGCCACCAAUCUUUAAGGAGGCCUUGGAACCGCUCGAGGCAGAUGAGUGGAUCAACACCAUGGAGCAGAAGUUUCGUCUUCUCCGAAUGACAGAAGAACUCAAGGCUGAGUAUGCGGCACAUCAGUUGCAAGGACAUGCAGGGAUUUGGUGGUCCCAUCACCGAACCACCUACCCAGAGGGGACACCAAUCACCUGGAACCGCUUCACCACCGCUUUCCGAGGAAAUUACAUUCCUCCUGGUGUGGUUGAAAUGAAGGUUGGGGAGUUCAUGAGGCUGUCCCAGGGGACGAAAUCUGUGAAAGAGUAUCUACAUGCCUUCAAUAAUCUCGCUCGAUAUGCCCCUGAGUUUGUAAACACGGAGGCCAAGAAGAUUGCCAGUUUCCAGAGAGGCUUGAACCCAAAGAUGCUGAAGACCAUGGGUACAGGGGCCAGGGCAACUUUCAAUGCCUAUAUCAGUGACUGCCUGACCCAAGAGAACAAUAACAACGACUACAGUGCAUCCAAGUCACGUAAAAGGGCUUUUGAAGCAGGAUCAUCCCAGUCCAGGGCGACAGCAGUAUCGUCCCCCUGCCCCCGGUGCUAGGUUCCGACCGCCGCAGAGAAGGAACACCGGACAUCCAACACUGCAGAAGCCGUACAAGGUGGCGAUAGCUCCUGCCAAGCCAAAGGCCAUUCAAGCUGCAGCACCUGCCGUCAACAAUGCGCCCAAGGGUCCAUGCUAUAACUGCCACAAGAUGGGGCACUUCGCUAAGGAAUGUCCCUACCCCAAGAGGCAGCCGCCAACAUAUCCAGCUCGUGUGCAUCAUACCUCGAUUGAGGAAAUCCCGGAAGGAGAACCGGUAACAGCUGGUAUGUUUUCUGUCAACCAACAUCUUGCAGUUGUUUUGUUUGAUUCUGGAUCGUCGCAUUCUUUCAUGAGUCAAGCAUUUGCACAAAAGCAUGAUCAGCCAGUUACUGAGUUAGGUUAUGGCUAUCGCAUCAGCUCAGCCGGGGCAGAUGUGUUGACUAAUAAAACGGUAACAGGAGUUACCUUGGAUAUCAGUGGUCGGAGGUUCCGUGUAAACCUUGUGGUCAUGCCAGGACUGGUUUUGGAUGUCAUCAUUGGGAUGAACAAAAUGACUGAUUGGGGCGCGGUUAUAGAUACCGGGAAUAGAACUCUUUCCCUUAGAGACCCGCAAGGAAAGGGGGUGCUUCAGGUCAAGCUACCUAGACGGUUGGACUUCGCCAGUCUUUCAUGUGCAGUACAGGUAGUCUCUCUAGAACACAUACCCGUGGUAUGUGAGUUCCCGGAUGUGUUUCCUGAGGAUUUACCAGGACUUCCCCCAGAUAGGGAGGUAGAGUUUGCGAUCGAGUUGAUACCAGGUACAGCACCAAUAUCCAGAAGGCCGUACCGGAUGCCACCAAACGAACUCGCAGAAUUGAAGAAACAACUAAAGGAGUUACUAGAAAAAGGGUUCAUCCGGCCCAGCUCGUCGGAAUGGGGUUGUCCAGCGUUGUUUGUGAAAAAGAAGGAUCAGUCGUUGCGCAUGUGCGUUGACUAUCGUCCACUCAAUGCAGUGACAAUCAAAAAUAAGUAUCCCCUGCCAAGGAUUGAUAUCCUGUUUGAUCAGUUAUCCAAAGCAAGAGUGUUUUCUAAGAUAGAUUUGAGAUCCGGGUAUCACCAAAUCAAGAUUCGUCCGCAAGAUAUCCCGAAGACUGCUUUCUCCACCAGAUAUGGGUUGUACGAGUAUCUUGUCAUGUCCUUUGGGUUGACAAAUGCUCCUGCAUACUUUAUGUAUCUGAUGAAUUCAGUCUUUAUGCCAGAAUUGGAUAAGUUUGUUGUGGUGUUUAUCGAUGAUAUCCUGGUGUAUUCAGAGAAUGAGCAAGAUCACGCCGAACAUCUGAGAAUCGUGUUGACACGAUUACGAGAGCAUCAGUUAUAUGCCAAGUUCAGCAAGUGUGAAUUCUGGUUAAAGAAAGUUCCGUUCCUAGGGCACAUUUUAUCUGAAGAAGGGAUUGCCGUGGAUCCAUCAAAAGUGCAGGAAGUCAUGGACUGGAAGGCACCAACUUCGGUCUCGGAAGUUAGAAGUUUUCUUGGUCUGGCCGGGUAUUAUCGUCGUUUCAUACCUGACUUCUCCAAGAUUGCUAAGCCAAUGACAAGUUUGCUACAAAAGGAUCAUAAGUUCGUCUGGACGGAGGGGUGUGAGUUAGCCUUCCGCACCUUGCGAAAGUUGCUAACCACUGCUCCCGUUCUGGCACAACCUAAUAUAGAGAAGCCUUUUGAUGUGUUUUGUGACGCAUCGAAGAGUGGCCUGGGGUGUGUGUUGAUGCAAGAUGGCAGGGUGAUAGCUUAUGCUUCCCGACAGUUGAGGAAGCAUGAAGUCAACUAUCCAACGCACGACCUUGAGUUAGCAGCAGUGGUACAUGCUUUGAAGAUCUGGAGACAUUAUCUGCUAGGAAAUAAGUGUCACAUUUACACCGAUCACAAGAGUUUGAAGUACAUCUUCACUCAUUCCGAGCUGAAUAUGAGGCAACGACGGUGGUUAGAGCUAAUCAAGGAUUAUGACCUGGAAGUUCACUAUCAUCCAGGCAAAGCUAAUGUGGUCGCAGAUGCUUUGAGUCGCAAACCGCACUAUCAAAUGGUUCAACCGUUGUUUGAAGAUGGGUUCAAUCUUAUGCAUCCUGAGGUCUUAUGUCAUAUACAACUCGGUUGUUCACUCGAGAGUCAAGUCAUUGAAGGUCAGAAAACAGACAAGGGUAUUUUCCACAUCAAAGAGAAGAUCAAAGAUGACCCAAAGACUCAGUUUCGGGUUGAUGAGAAGGGGGUACUGUGGUUUCAACAGCGGUUAGUGGUCCCGAAAGAUCGGGAGUUGAAGAAUCGCAUCAUGGAUGAAGCCCAUCUCUCUAAGCUUUCUAUUCAUCCUGGCAGCAGCAAAAUGUAUCAAGAUCUAAGGCCCCACUUUUGGUGGACCAAGAUGAAGAAAGAAAUAGCAGCUUAUGUGGCCCGUUGUGACACGUGUUGCAGAGUUAAGGCCGUCCACAUGAAACCUGCAGGUCUGUUACAACCGUUAUCAGUCCCGGAGUGGAAAUGGGAAGAGGUCAGUAUGGACUUUAUCACCGGCUUACCGACAACCAGGAAGGGGAAUGACUCGAUUUGGGUAAUCAUAGAUCGAUUAACCAAGUCGGCUCAUUUCAUUCCAGUCAAGAACACAUACAGACCUCCCGAGUAUGCCGAUAUAUAUAUGGCUGAGAUUGUCAAGUUGCAUGGUAUUCCCAAGACAAUCAUAUCAGAUAGAGGACCGCAGUUCACUGCUCACUUCUGGGAGCGCAUGCAUAAGAGCUUGGGGACCAGUCUGAUAAGAAGCACGGCGUAUCAUCCCCAGACUUCAGGACAAACCGAGAGACUAAAUCAAGUGUUAGAAGAUAUGCUGAGAGCCUGUGUGCUAUCAUCCAAGGGAUCAUGGGAAUCGUGGUUACCUUUGGCUGAAUUCUCCUACAAUAAUAGUUAUCAAGAGAGCAUCAAGAUGGCCCCGUUUGAAGCUUUGUAUGGUCGAAGAUGUCGAACUCCGUUAAACUGGGUUGAACCUGGUGAAAGAAGAUACUAUGGUAUCGACUUUGUGAAUGAUGCCGAGAAAAAGGUGCAGAUUAUACAGCAACAUAUGCAAGCAGCGCAAUCGCGACAGAAGAGUUAUGCUGAUAAGAGAAGAAGGCCACUUGAAUUCAACAUAGGUGACUAUGUGUACCUCAAGGUUACGCCGAUGAAGAAAGUUCAACGUUUCCGAGUUCGAAGCAAGCUUGCACCCAGAUAUGUGGGACCGUACCAAGUACUAGAGAGGAAAGGCCCAGUGGCCUAUAAGAUCCAGUUACCUGAAGAGAUGAGCUCGAUCUUUCCGGUCUUCCAUGUGUCGCAACUACGGAAAUGUUUGAAAGUGCCUGAGCAAAGAGUUGAACCCCGAGGGAUCAAAAUAAAAGCAGACUUAGAGUAUAAAGAGCAGCCAGUGGGAAUCGUGGAUACCAAGGAGCGAGUAACCCGAAACAGAAUUGUCAGAACAUAUAAGGUGGUGUGGAGUGAUCAUGACGAUAGGGAUGCCACCUGGGAAACAGAGGAUUACUUAAAAACAGUUUAUCCAAAAUUUCACAAGAAAUGGUUAGUAACCCAAAAUCUCGGGACGAGAUUUCCCUAAGGGGGGAAGGGCUGUAACACCCUAGGUGUUAAGCAUGCACUUAGUCUCACCAAAGCCCUGCAUAAGCAUUCCAUCAAGCAUAAGCAUCAUGAGCAUGACACUCUUGUCAAAUUAUGAUUUUAUGUGCUUCAUUUCAUGUGUUUUAAAUAUGUUAAAAAUAUGAUACUUGCUCCUAAAAUUGUGAAAAAUUCAAAUUAGGUUGAUUUAUGUGUGAGAAGCAUUUAGAAUAUUUUUGUGCAAUUUUUGGAGCUAUGGAAUUUGAGAAAUGGAAUUUAUACAAAAAUAUCCAAAAAGAAUUUAAUUAAAACCUAGAACUGAGUUUUAACUUGUAAUUCAAAUUCUGUUUGGAAUUUGGUCUUGCUUGUUAAAACAAAGUGGUAGAGUUUUUGUUUUGGAACAACUUUGCUUUUGGGAGCAAGAGGUGAAAAUGAUUUUAAAUUGGUCCAAAUGAAUUUAGAAAGAAUUUGGAGAAAAGAAAUUUCAAAAAAAAAUAGGAAAGGGGGCAGGCGCUGCUGGGCCGACCCGCCUCCCUUCUGGCCCAGCUGGGCAGCGCGGCCUGCUCCCCCUCCCCUCUCUCCCGCGCGCGCGGCGCCCGCCUUGUUCCACCCGGCGCCGGCCACGUGGCGGCCGUACGCCGGCGUUGGACGCGCCGCGGCCGGCCUCCAACCCCCCCUGGUCGGGACGCCGGCGCUGGCUCCCAGACCACUCGCCCGUUCUGUCCCCCCCGCGCCCUCCUUCUCCUUCCUCCUCCGCUCGAACCGCGCCGCAGCAGCCGCUCCUCCGCACGCCAUUGCCGGAGAGAGCUCCGCCGCUCGUCGCCGGCCACACCAGAGCCUCAAGCUCGACGCCGAGGGCACCAGGGCACUCGCCGUCGCUAGGGUAAGCUCGUGCGAACGUUCUACCGAGGUGAGAGUCCGUCGAGCGCCGUGAAUCGCUCGCCGGAGUUACCCCGAGCUCGCCGGAGUACUCCGCCGCGGUGGAUCUAGCGUUUCCCUGCGUCUUUUCGCUCGUUCUCUGUUGCGCUAGGUCGGUAGGAAGGUGAGGAAGCUCGGAGAGGCGUUUGCGCACGCUCUACCGCGCCGGAGCAGCCUGGCCACGGCGAGCAGCGCCGCCGUGCCGCCAUGCAUGCUCGCCGGAGGUGUUCCGGCCGUCCUCUGGUCGAUCCAAGGGUACCGCUGGGUGCGCCUCGCUGCGGGGAGCACGUUGGUGCUCACCCCGUGGCCGGAGACCUCACCGCCGGCGAGAUCCGCUCGUCGGAGGUGAGCUCCCUCUCGGUCUCGCUGACUGGUGGGGUCGGGGACCCACUGUCAGUCGCAGGGGUACCCCGGUGGGUGUAGAUCUGGGUGAGCGUAGCGUUUUUCGUCGGUUUUCUUGAAAAAGUAUUUUCCAGAAAUUGAUUUAAAGUUUGUAAAAUCUAUAUCUUGAGUUCUACAGCUCCAAAUUGAAUGAGAUAAAUUUUGGUGUGCUCUAUAUUUCCAGAUCUACAGUUGGAUGUAAUUGCAUGUCAUGUUGGAGCAACUUUUCUGUGUGAAUAUAUUUUAUCCAUGAUUUUGUUAAAAUUGGAAAAUGCAUAGUAAAUGGAAUAUGGCUCAGAAAAAUGUGAAACUUGUUUUGCUGGCUCUGCAUGUGUGUUUACUCACUGAGAAAAUAUUGUUACAUAUUAUUUGGUGUAUAAAUGAAUUUAUGGUAAUUUAAAUGCUUGCAUGGCAGUACUUUAUGAUUUUUAAUAAUUAAUUGAGUCAUGCAAUAAAUCUGGAAAAUUUUGUGGAUGUUUCUUAUGAUAUUAGACAAAUUGUAAAAAUAUGAAAUCUGUUGUUUGACACUCAUAUCACAGUAGGGUGAUUAUACUUGCCUUAUCCAUUAAUCUUGUGAUUUUUGUGGCUCAAAAUAAGUAACCAAAAAUUAUGAAAAAUUUACAGUAGACUUUAUGAUUAGCUAGUAGUCUCCUGUAAUUUUUUGAGAAUUUAUUGAUGAACAGAAUUGCAUGUGAUUUUUAAUGGGCUUAGAAAUGAAUAAAGAAAAUUUUGAAUGGUUGUGUAUGUGGGUUGAAUGGACUAGGUUGGGUUUGGUGUAUCUUUGAAGCAUCAUGUAGGUUGCUGAUGUCAUUUGAAAAAUAAUUAUAGAAGAGAAUGUAAUAGAUGUUUGAUUCAAUUGUUUAUUCUUGGAUGAUGUUGACUACCUUGUAAUAAGCAUGACCAAGUACAUUACCUAUGCAUCAUAACAUGACUCCUUUGGUACUCUCUCGUAUAAGCAUCCACUCGGGCAUUCCGCACUCCACUCAUGAGCAUAUAUGCAUCAUACAGGCUCGCAGGAGAACGAGGUGGGAACCAAGGAACCCGAGGAGCUUCAGGAGCAGGAACCUCCGGAAGCACAAGAGCCCGGAGAGGAACUGCAGGAGUGUCCGGAUCACAGACCCAGCACGUUUGAGAAAGGCAAGCCCCGGAGCAUUCUAAGUCUCCCUAUUCUCGCUAACUUAUAUAAAGUGCUAUACUUAUUCUACUAUAUUGCAUAUUAAGUGAUAGGAGUUGCCUGAUACCGUUGCUGCAUAUGUACUCCUUGUUAUCCCUACUCGUUAUCUACCUUGUCCUAUGUAGAUAGGCGCGGAGUCUAUGCUUAGCUUGCUUAGUCCGGUAGAAGUCGGGUGAUGUCCUGUCAUCUGCGAGAUAUAGGUGGAUACCUGCUUGAUUAAGCAUUGGUUGCUCGGGGAAAGGAAUAACCCAGGGUGGAAUGAAUUUGGAGACCGGGCAGGGUCUUAUGGUGGGUUGACCAUAGUGCCCCUGUCUGUGUCGAUUAAGGACCGAUCGUUGACGGCCCUCUUGUCAUGUUGAACGCAUGCCCCACAUUUAGCUGGAAGGAUAAGUCGUUCCGACCGCGAAGCCUGAGCACUAUCCGGGCCGGGAAUCGGCCCGAUGUACGCGCUGUAUUGGUGAUGGUCGAAGAGAACGACGAGGGCGCGGCGCGCAACCUUGGUAUACCUUGGAUACCUCGGUCGCCGGAACGGUCCUCGGGUACGGGCGGUGCCUGUCGAACCCACGAAUUGGUCCUGGAUAGUGCAACACGGUGACCUGUAGCUCACUUGAUCAGUGAGUGUGGUUUGUGUGGGGAAUAAAGUCGCCAGCUGGUUAGAAAUCGAUUCGAAUCGCCAUCGCUCCUGGAUAGUGAGCACUUGACAUAAGCUUCGUCCUCGUAGUAAGGACUAUGGAACACUUGGGUUAUAAUGAAACGGGUUUAUGACUGCUGUGAUGAGGUACUAUCAUAAUCUCAUACUUGCUUGUAAUAGCACAGGAGCAAACCUAGAUAAUAGGUAAUGAUACUUUCAACUUGAGCAGAUUAAAAGAAGAAAAGAAUUAUGUAGGUUCGGAUAAUAAAACCUUGCGGUCUUUGCAAAAUGGUUGUCAGCUACCCCACUAAAUAGCCUUCAUGAUCCUUGAUGAGUCUUUAUUUUAAGUUUAUGACGGGUAAGUCUAGCUGAGUACCUUCUCGUACUCAGGGUUCUAUUCCCAUGUUGUUUUGCAGAUGGUCAAAUGUACUAUGGUUAUUGCAUCCUCUGUCUGCACCCAGCUAUGGGUGAUGACUAGACCAAGGGUGAUGGUCACUCCGUCUCUUCUUUUGCUUUUGUGGGAAUGACCGAACUAUGGCACUGUAUCAGACUUAUCGUGUGUGUUGUAUUUUCGAACUAUGAAGCUUCUGCUACUUGAAGAACUUGGUUUGUAAUAACUUUAAGCACUCCGAUGUAUUUAUGAAUGUUGUAAUCUGGAUGUGAUUGUGGAUGGCGACCGCUAAACUUAUUACGAUCUUGGCUGUAUAUGUGAUGUGUGGUUUGAAAUCCUUCGAGAUUUCACGGACUACCGGGAUUAUAUGGGCUUAAGCGUGAUAGUUCGACUAUGCAAAUGGUCACUAUUAGGCUUAAUCUCUUAUAAUUUGGUCGGUUCUGUUACAGCACCUGUCUUAGCCUAGCCAGAGAUUGAAAAGCCAUUUGAUGUGUAUUGUGACGCAUCAGAAAUAGGGAUAGGCUGUGUGCUAAUGCAGGAGGGUCGAGUAAUUGCAUAUGCUUCCAGACAGCUUAAACCACAUGAAGAGAAUUACCCGACCCAUGAUCUUGAACUAGCCACCGUAGUACAUGCACUAAAGAUCUGGCGCCAUUAUCUAUUGGGGAACACUUGUCAUCUAUACACAGAUCACAAGAGCUUGAAGUACAUCUUCACUCAAGCUGAACUUAAUAUGCGCCAGCGAAGGUGGCUAGAAUUGAUCAAAGAUUACGACCUUGAGGUGCAUUAUCACCUUAGCAAGGCGAAUGUAGUAGCUGAUGCCCUCAGUCGUAAGGCUCACUCUAAUUGUUUAACAGUGACGCCUAAAGACAUAACUUUGUGCUAAGAGCUAGAGAACUUGGGGAUAGAAAUGAUUUCCCAAGGAAGCCUUGCCAAUCUAAAGAUUGAUUUUAAUCUCGAAGCUCAAAUCAUAGAGGCACAAAAAGAAGACAAAGGCAUGAAAUAUCUGAAAGAGAAAAUCUCUAUUAGAGCACCCACAGACUUUAAGGUGGAUGAUGCAGGAGUAAUCUGGUUCAAAAACCGGUUAGUGGUUCCAAAGGUACCUGAGUUACGUCAGCAAAUCCUAGAUGAAGCUCAUACCACGAGGUAUUCUAUUCAUCCGGGAAGCAAUAAAAUGUAUCAGGACAUGAAGCAAAGGUUUUGGUGGACGAAAAUGAAGAUAGAAAUAGCUCGCUAUGUGGCCCAAUGCGACACAUGUCGAAAGGUCAAAGCUGUUCAUCUCAAAUCCGCUGGAGAGUUGCAACCCUUGCCUAUUCCAGCAUGGAAAUGGGAUGAUAUUAGUAUGGAUUUCAUAGUAGGAUUGCCCAAGACGGCCAAAGGCUUUGAUUCUAGUUGGGUCAUUGUGGAUCGUCUCACCAAAACAGCACAUUUCUUACCUGUAAAGACAUCGUAUCAUACUUCCACCUAUGCUCAGAUCUAGUUUGAUCGUAUACUAAGUCUGCAUGGGGUGCCAAAGACAAUACUGUCAGAUAGAGGCACCCAAUUUGUCUCCUAGUUCUAGAAAUCCUUACAUGAAUCUUUGGGCACCAAGCUUUUAUACAGUACCGCCUACCACCCUCAAAUAGGUGGGCAAACAGAGAGGGUGAAUCAAACCCUAGAAGAUCUAUUAAGAUCUUGUGCCCUAAAUUUUCUAGAUAAGUGGGAUGACUGCUUGCCUCUAGCAGAGUUUUCCGGCAACAAUAGCUACCAAGAAAGUAUUAAGAUGGCUCCCUUUGAGGCACUAUAUGGCCGUCGAUGUCGAACUCUGUUACACUGGUCGGAACCCGGAGAAAGAUGGUUCUUUAGGGUUGACUUAGUGAAAGAGACUGAGAACAAAGUUAGACAAAUCCAAAAUAACUUGAAAGUUGCUCAGUCCCGACAGAAAAGUUAUGCCGAUCAAAGACGUCGACCAUUAAGGUUCGCCAAGUGUGAUCAUGUGUAUUUGAAAGUAUCCCCAAUGAAAGGAGUAAAUCGUUUUGGCAUUAAAGGCAAGUUAGCGCCCCGUUACAUUGGGCCAUUUCCAAUCAUUCACCGAUGUGGACAGGUAGCUUACCGCCUUAAACUGCCCGAACGAUUAUCUAGGAUACACAAUGUAUUUCAUGUGUCUCAAUAGAAAAAGUGUCUUCGAGUAAUAGACCAAGUUCAAGAUAUCGAAGAGGUGGAACUUGAACCAGUUCUGACCUAUGCGGAAUAUCCUAUCCGAGUAUUGGAUCGCAAGGAUAGGGUUACUCGAAGAACAACUACCAAGUGGUACAAGGUGCAAUGGAGCCAGCACUCUGAAGAGGAAGCCACAUGGGAAUCUAAAGAUUAUCUAAUGGAGAAUUUUCCUGAGUUCCAUGCUUCUCUUCAAGACAACAUCUGAUAAAUAGGAAGUGUAAUCGAGUGAAUGAAAAGGGUAGCCAAAGCCAUGUACUUAAUGUACAUACAUGUUUAUAAUUGAGUAGUCUUCCCCAGCUCCUUGUAUUAUGAAAAGGUUGAAGAGGAAAUAGUUUGACAAAUUUCCUUUUCCAUUACAUACCCGAAGGCUUUAAAUCUCAGGGACGAGAUUUCUUUAAGGGGGACGGGCUGUAACAUCCCCGAUGUUACGGUUACUAAAACUGGAUCAUGUCAUCAUGAGCAUUGCAUUGCAUAUUUGUUAAGCACAUUUUUUAUGCAUCAAAUUAAAACAAUUUUAUUUUGAAUGCUUGUGCUUAGGAAAGUAAAGUGUGCUUAUGUUGUGAAGUGAUGCUUGUGUUGGUUGUUUAAUCCCUAGGGUGAAAGAUUUCCGAGAGACUAGGGGGAAAAACCCCUGAUUUUAGAACCUUAGAAUUGCCCCCUUUUGUGCAAUUUAAAAACUAAGCAAAAUUUGAAGUUGAGUUCAAAAGCAAAGUUGUAGAUCUUGUCAAGAUGUACAACUUUGGUGUUUUGAGUUUUUGAAGUUUCAAUACAAAAUUCAAAGUAAUUUUGAAAAUACAGAUUUCCAGAAAGUGUCCCCUUUUCCAAUUUGAAUCUCCAAUUCAAAAUCUAUUUGGAAUUUUGAAAAGUGACCAACAUGAAAGUUGUAGAGCUCAAAAAGUUGAACAACUUUCAUGUUGGGAGUUUUUCAAGUUGUUUUGGAAAAUCAAAAGUACUUUUGGAAAUUCUGAUCUGCCCCAAUUCAAAAAUUUGAAUUUCCCUAAAUUGAGAUUUGAAUUUCAAACUGUUUGGUCAAAUUCACUAAUUUCCACUCAGAUUUAGCUUCGGUCACCAAAAGGAUUUUUGUAGCUUGUAAAAUUCUGCACAACUUUCAUUUUGGUGGAAUUUUGUCUUCAGUUUAAAAUUUGGGCGGAUUUUGCAAAACCACAAAACGGGUUGGAUAAAGCUCGCUACAGUGAUCCGAUAGGGAUCACGGCGCCCCUGUCCAGCGCGGCCGCCGCGCGUGCAGCGCCUCGCGCAUGCGUGCGUGCACGCAGCCUGCUUGCCUGCCAGUGUCACCAGGCGACGUGGAAGCUGGGCGUCUCCUCCGUUCGUGAUAUAAGCCACUCCACCGGCCGACGUGCUCCGUUUAUUUCUCUCGCGCCCGACGCCGGUGAACUUCGUCGCCCACAAAAUUCGUCGUGUCCACUCCCUGUCCAAGCCCCCAAAGCACCUCCAGAGCUUCGCCUUGAGCUCAGCUACUCCCUGGACCCUUUGUCGCGAGCUCUAGCCUCCCCUAGCCCGCAACCGAGCCGUUCUCCUUCAAUUCCGGCCGAAGCACCGCCACAAGUACUUCACCACGGCCAGAGCUGCUCCAAGCCUUUCCAUCGCCGCUCCUUGCUCCGUUGAAGUCGCGGUGAGCUCCUGAAGCUUAUGCGCUGUUUGGUUCGCGUUCUACCCGCUUGCAGUGGCCGGUGCUCGCGCCGUUAGUGUCGCCGUCCGCCGUGGACGUGAGCAGGAGGGUUAGGAGGGAGUAGGGGUUGUCCCGUGUGUCCCAGGGGUUGCGCGAGAGGCCGAAGGUGCUAGCCCACCCUACCGCGGAGGCUGGGAGCUCUCCGGCGAUGAGCUUGAGCUCACCAGAGCCGCGACGGGAGGUGGAAGGAGAAUCUGACGGGCAGGACCCGCCCGUCAGUGGCCGCAUGAGAGGAGCAGCGCCCGCGCGCGACGCGAGAGGUUCUCAGGCCGGCUUGGGCCAAAGCCAAGCGGGCCGGCCGCAUAGCGCAGUGUGUUUUUCCUUUUUCCUUUUUGUUUAAAAAUGCUUAAUGUUUGAAUUUGAAUAGAAAAUCUUGUACUGAUUCAAAAAUCAUGGGAAUUUUUGUGUAAGUUCUAUGAAAUGAGUAGAACACAGGAAAAAUAUUAGGUUCUAUUUUCUUGUAGUUUGCAUAUUAUAAAAAUUGCCUCUUUUAAUUAGCAAAUAAAACUUCUAUGAAUUUUAAUAAUUUAAUUGUUUGUCCAAAAUAACCAAAAUUUGUGGGAUGCCUCUGAAUAUUAUUCCCUGGCUUCACACAAAAUUUGGUGGCAUUUGGAUAAUGUUUGAAUAAAAUAUUAUUAAACCCUUAAUUAGUAAUUAAAUAAUAAUUCUAGAAUAAUUAGAUAAUAAUUAGUUAAAUUCUCAAAUUACGAUUUGAGUGAUUUUGGGAUUGUGUGAUGACCUGAGGUCAUUAACCUUAAUGACCUUUGGCAUUUAAUUAUUGUUUGGCAUUAAUGCUUAAUUACUGUCAUUAAUACUUAAUUAAGAAUUAAUUAAGAUAAAAAGGAUUAAUAAUUAGUUAAUUUAGGUUAAUUAUGAAUUAAGAGGAAUCUUAGUUUACAGAUGCAACCUCUUGGGUAAAGACACUAAGAUGAUAAACAACUUUAGUUAUUGAUUAGUCUGUGUUGCACCGGGAAGGCCCGUUGUAGUUAACUCGGUCCUUCUCAAAUGUCUGUCAUACGCAUAUCAUGAGCAUCCAUCAUUUUGCGUAUAGUGCACGUGACCGAAGGAGUGACCGUUGAACCAAACCCUGAGGUCGGUGCUCCGUUCGAGGAAGUAGGAUCCGAGACUUGGAAGUCUCUGAGGAACCCCCUCAGCUCUACAACCAAGGCAAGCCCCGGAUGCAUUAACCCCUCCUUGAAUGUUUUAAAUCUUUUAUCACUUAUGAAUUGAAAAUGCUGCAUUAGGUAGUUGAGAAUUGGGUUAACCUACUUGCUGCAUUUACUACCUUGAUAUUUGUUAUCCUGUCCUUGACACCGGUUUUAUUUUAAAAUCGCGUAGUAAUGCUUAGCCCUGCUACUAGAUAGGUUUUCAAACAAUAAAGUUUGAAGAGUUGUUGUGGAAUACACUUAUGGUCAAUGAUGUUUCAACUUGAGACCGGUCGGUGGACUUACUUUAAGAAUGGAGUCUUAAAGUAGUGUCUCCAACUGUGUCGGUUAAGGACCGGUCCGUUGAUGGCCCGCUGGGUUGAGAAUUUAUAGUACUAGCCACUUACCCUCGGUAAGCCCGGUCUUGUGAUCCCUCGAUGCGAACAGCUACUCGCGCACUGGGCGUGGAGCGAUGGCGAGAGUAGUGUGUACCCACCUUACGGAUCUGAGAUGACCGGAAAACAUCUAGAUCGACUGUAGGAUGGUGGAGUACUGUGCUCUCGGGUGCCGCGAACCUAGUCAAAUUUGGGGAGAGCUUGAUUUGGGUUGACAUAUGCAAGAUAUGGUUCUACAUAUGUCGGGUGGUUAGGAACUCCAGCUGGAUUGCUAAGCGGUUCGAAUCGUCGUUUCUCCCAGAUUGGGAGACUCAAUCCAUGGACCCUCAUCGUAGCUAAAUAUGCAACUAAGUGAUAAAAUGAGGUAGGGGGAAAUGUCUCAUGAGGAUCGGAUCCCAAUUCCCGGACUCAGAGUGACAUGAAGCUAUGGCCGUUGGAUGGAUAAUACUUUGAUUUAGGACUAGGAACUCACAGACUCGUCUGUGGGAGGCAACUAGAUAGACUGUCCUCGAACUCCUCAGCCUCUUAAGGAGAGGAAUUCGCGGGUAAAACUUGAAAGUAAGGAUGCACUAUUAGUAAGCUUUUUAGCAAAACACUUUGGCUCCUUGCUCAGCCACUCCUUGCCUACCCCAAGCCUGCAUUCCUAAUUUCUCCUCUUUUAUCACCGGGUAAGUCUUGUUGAGUACUCCCGUACUCAGGGUUUUAUAACCCCUGUUGCAGGUGAAGCUCAGGAGCCGACAUGUUUCGGACCCUGUUGUGUGUCUGUCGUCGAGGUUGACGACGAGGAAGAGUGAGCGUGACCCAUGGGCUGGGUCUGUAAAUUUGUAAUUUGUGUACUAAAGUUUAAGUUGCUCCGCUGGGCCUGGCUUGUAAUAACACUCUACUAUUUGGAAGAACUCCUUUUGUAAAUUAAGUUAUGUAAUACUUCCGCUAUUUUACUCUAAAAUAUUAUUUUGGUCUUGUGUCGUCUGUGAUACUGCAAUGUCUUCGCAACGAGUGAUCCUGGUGUUAAGGUGGCCACUUGCUAUCCUGUAAGGGCGAGAAGAAGAAAUUUUCGUUAAUGGACCACUGCUGGUGGUCAAGACGAGCUUGUUUGAUACGCCACAAGUAGCGGUGGAAUGAGCAUCCUGAGAUGCCCAUCGGACUUCUAGAGUGGGAGGAUCCCCGGCAUCACCGUCAGAGGUCCUUUGGACAAUGAUAGGUGUCGGUGGGCCCAAACACUUAGGAGGUUCAGCCACAGGUUGCGGAUCUAGCACCUGCUAGAAAGCUUCCACGUGUCUAUGCGGUGCGCGAUCUGCAUGGAACAUCGGGUUAAUCAUUUGGCCACCAACCUGCUGACCGCCAAACUGCUGGCCCCCCAGAUGUUGACCACCAAAUUGCUGACCAGCGAUCUGCUGGCCGUGAUUCAUCGGCUGAUUGGCUAGCCCUUGGUUCCGGAACCCGGGAUAGAUUUGGCCUUGCUGAAACCCUAUAGCCUGAUGAUUCUGUUGGGACAUUUGUGGAAAAACUGUCUGCUCAGGCCAUCCACUGUUCGCGUUCAUCGGCAUCGGGCCUGCCGAUGACUGAUAAUUGGGCAUGAUCAUUGAACUAACAUACCCUGGCUGGGUCAUAAACCUCUGUUGCAUCAGCAUUGAGUCUGCCGAUGCAUUAGGCAUCUGGAACGUUGGAACUUGAGAGUUCCCGGUGUAAGGUCUUGCAGUAGUAGUUGUAGUAUACUGGGGACUCUGAUUCAUCGACAUAUUUGGGGGUGCCGAUGCCAUAGGAGCCUUGCCUCUCAUAUCAGUUGCCUGAGAUGUGCCAGGUGUCUUCAAGUAUUCCGGGGGCAUACCAAAACCCCACCAGUUAGGAGGAGGAACUGGUCCUAACAUCGCCGAUGCCAAUAGAUCUGUAGUAAGUUUAAUCUGCUCUGAAGUCGGCGGAUUCGUCGUCAUCGGCGUAGAUUGUGCAUUAGUGACUCCUAACGUGCUUGGAGGAACAGGAAUUUCCGUGCCCGCAGCGGCUGUAGCAGCCGAUGGAGCUGUGACCACUGGUGAUCCUGGCUGAUGAUGAGAGGGGCCCACAUAAUCUGGUGGCAAUUGUCCUUCCUUGAAAGUUCUAGCCACGGCAUUGAAAACCUUGUUGGACAACACACCAGCUUGGUUGAUCAAGGCACGGUUGAUAGCACUAUCAACCAUCUCUUGUAGUUUACCAAGAUUGGCUUCAAAAGUAACCUGCCGAGGCAUCGGCAGCGCAUCCUUCUGGAUCACUUUACCGCUCCUGUUCAUGCUGAAGGCCCUCAGGCAUUGCUGCUUGUAACCCUCUAUGGCUUUAGCGAUAGCUUGCUUCUGCUCAUCUUUGAGAUUGGCUUCCGUCACGGGGAUGACGUUCUCCUGAUCAAACUCAGUAGUCGACAUGUUGAUGUUGAUCUUGAAUCUUGUCCCACUGGGCGUGCCAAAAGAUGUGUUGAUGCAAAAGCUAGAUCUGCAAACACAAAGGGCUAAUACCCGAUUUAAACGUUAAGGCGUGCCAGCCGAUUUGACCUUACUAUCGGCAAAGGUGAUAACUCGAAUACUUUGGUCCCGACAACAGCGAUGCGCCCGGAUGCCACGACCAAGAGGUAUUCAUGCGGAACUUGAGAACACGCUGAGCUUAAGUCGACGAAUUCCUAAGAACUCGUAAUGAAAAGGAAAAAGUAUGACGAAGUCGUCGAAAUAGUAGAUGGUGGAAUAUGAGUAAAACCGGUAUUUGAUUGAUUGAUAGAUUGUUUAUUACAAUGCCCUAGGGUCUACAUUUAUACCCUGCUCAAAGAGCUACAACCAGACACGACUAGAACUCAAAUUCCAAAUUUAAAUAGAAUCCGUAUACAAAACGAUUUAAAUAACUAAGAAAAACACAAAACCAUCCUCCCGUGACAAUCUGGGACACCGCCACGGACUAAUCGGCAACCUGUGAUUCUUCCUUCCAUGUCAUCAGUAGACUCCCCAUCGGCAACAGUUAACCCUGACCAUCGUCAUAAACACAUCGUCAUUCACGGACUCAGCCAUAUCCAGCUCUCUUCUCAUCGGCAACCAUCUUCAUCGGCAAGCCUUCUGCAGACCAGUGACCAUUACCCUAUCUUGCCGAUCCACAUUCCACCGAUCCUAGAUACGUGUCAAAAAACGGUGUCAACAGUACAAUCAUAAGGUAAGUCAACAACGAGGUGAAUGCGGAGUUUUAUGAGCUAACUUUUGUCUAGAUUUUUAUUCCCUCGACUGUAUCGGCGACCUUAGACUCGAAGUCCUAACUUUUAAACGAAAAGAUAAUGAAACUUUGGGAAAAUCCUAGAAACGUUUUUCUAAUCUUUUAGAAUCUGGUCCAAACCUUAAUCUUGAAGACCCUAUUCUUUUAUUUCACUUUUUUCAUGGUCUUCAGAAAGAUCAUAAACAAAUGCUACAUACAAUGUCUAGAGGUUCUUUCUUUCGUAUCCCUACUGAUGAUGCUAGAGUAAUCCUAGAUAGAAUCCUAGAAGCUGAGAUGGAUAAUACCCUUCAUGAUGAAACCCACGAAGUCGAAGUAGACACUUUGCCAAAUUCUCCAUCUACUUUAGCUAUCCCAAGUUCUGAGCCACAAAGGAAGAAAUUCCACCACCUGAUUUCAUGUUGGAUAUAGAAUCUGAUCUUUUUGCUGAUUUUGGAAACAUUUCAAUCUACCAUUCUAUUGACAAACCCCAAAAUGGCCAUUUUAGCAUUUGUAUACCAAGUGAACAUCAAUUGAGAGAGAUUAUUGCAGUCAUGAGUAGCGAAUGGUUGGAGGAGUCAGAGCUUUCCUCUGAUGUGAUCCGUUUGGACACACCUCCUAUAACUAUACGCUGUGCUUAUGUUUCUGAUCAAUUUGAUGCUCUCUAUAAUCCUAAUGUGGGGAUCAACAUCAUGUCUGAAUCUUUUGCACUUAAAUUAUUUAAAAAUUUGAUCUUAACCCCCACAACAAAGGUUAUAAAGGAAUCUUUGGGACGAUUAGUCCCUAGUCUUGGAAUUAUUAAUGUCCUACCCUUAUUGGUAGAAGGCUCCAUGGUUCAUUUGAACUUCUAUAUCUCUAAUACAUGGGACUUCGACCUGUUGAUAGGACAACCUUUUAAAAGACUCCUUUAUGAAGGUCAUACUAGAAAGCUACACAUUUCUUUUGGAAAAACUUUUAAAUUUCCCAUAACAAUUUCGCACUCCUUAAAUAAUAAGGCCAAGUCAUAUCUUUUGCCUGAUCCUAUGGAGGAGGUAAAGGCUGCAUCGCAAGAGCUUUUAGAAGAACCAGACUUAGAAGACGAAGCUCCUUUCUUCAUAGAAGAAGAGGCCAAACCUUCUGAACCUGAACCCUUAGAUGAGUUUGCAGAAACGCCUAGACCUCCCAUAGAGCAUAAAUCUUUACCACCCGGUCUUAUCUAUGCUUUCCUAAACAAUAAUCCAGAGUUUCCUGUGAUCAUUAGUGAUAAACUCACUCAGGAGCAAACUCUACGAUUAAUGACCAUUCUUGAAAAACAUCACUCGGUUUUCGGCUACUCACUCCAAGAUCUUAUAGGAAUCAGUCCUAUGAUUUGUACCCAUCGUAUUCCGACAGAUCCUUCUGUUUCACCUUCUCGAGAGCCUCAACGUAGACUUAACAACAUGAUGAGAGAGGUUGUUGUUGACGGUCCUUAAGUAUCAAAUUUAAUUAUCAAUUAAACAAAGAAAAGGAUCCAAUUGAAAUCAACAUCUAGACUUAGGGUUUUAUUUGACAGAAUUCCACGAGUUUUGGUGUUUGUCUAUUUCUGCAGGGGGUUAUCAGGAAAUACGGAAGAAAGGCCCACACGUCCAGAUUACAUAGAGAUAUUAAUGUGCCACGCAAUUAUCUUACAUCUAGAAGACUCCACAAGCCACGGGAACGAAUUGGAGGCCAAACGGGGCCUGGUCCAGGGCGCCCGCCCUAGGGACCAGGGCGCCCGCCCCCCUCUAGAGUCCAAUCAGGACUCUCUUUCGAGAUUACGCUCCACCGACCUAAAGGAUCAAGGAUAACCGUUCAAUCAAUGUCGGUUUGAUCCAACGGCCCAUAUCCCUUGGAAGGACUAUAAACCAGACCCCCUAGCCCCUGGAGGAGAGGACUUCUCAACCCUAAUUCAUAAUUCAUCAAGGGACGAGAAGCCUCUGAUCAAGCUCUAGAUCCACCACAUCAAUUAGAUAUCUAGAUUGGCAUAGCUACAUAGGAUUAGAACUAGAAGGAGUCAAUCUUCGAUUGGUUUUCGGAUCUGUCACAAGGAUUCUUGGUAAUUCUCUAUUGUUCUUCAAUUGUUCAUCUUUGUUCUUCAAUCUUAUGAAUAUGACUUUGUUCUAUUUUAAUAUAUUGCUUAUGACUUUGCUCUACUUGUUUAUAUUCGCAAUUAUAUUGUUUUUAGUUUAUCAUAGUUAUAUACUUGGCUUAGUUAGAUUGGAUUUAUAUACAUGUUUAGGAUCGUAUAGCGUUUAUCCAUCGGAUCCAUGGGUAAAUGAUAGAUAUUGUGUAGGCGUGGUGCUUAUACUGUAUUUAUCUGCGAUAGUACCCUAUAUGCCAGACCGCGGGGUAGUUCGUGGUAGUGACAGCUCCAUUGAUUCUUAUAUAGUCCCCUCUCGUGUAUUGGGCUGGCAGAACAACAUUAUUACAGGGGAGUGAUUGCUAUGUUUCUCAUAUUCCUUGAUAAUAUCACUAUGCAUGGGCGUAGUCCUAUCUCACAAUGAUUGCUAAGUAUAAUUGCACUAACUAUGAUAUGCUAGACUAUAUAGUUGGGAAUAACUUAGGAAAUAUUCUUGUAGUUCGUUCUAAUUCCAUGAUAAUAACUUGCUAGAAUAUCUAAUUGAGGUGCAUAUCAUAUUUAUUAUGUGGCUAAGUUAUGCUGAUCAGAUUAAUUAUCUUUGUCACCAUUCAUUACUUUAUAUCCUUUAUGUGAUACUUAUCCCUGUAUGAAAGAGAUAGAUAAAUGUUCUCAAUUAUACAUGCAAUGAUAGAUACUCAAUCUUAUAUUCCAUUCUAUAAUCAACAUUGAUGAUUACUAAUCCCUUCCUAGCGGUAAAAAUAUAAAUAACCAUACCUGGAAUACUUCCCAGUUAAAAUGCUACAUCGGUAUUAAUCUAUGCGCUUGCAGAUCCCAUUCAUUAUUUAUUUACAUGAGCAAUUGCAUAUUUCUAUACCGCGUCUCUCAUGUCAUGCUGGGGAUGACAACCUGGCUUAAGUGGUACGAGGGAUAGUUUGGCAUUUUUGGCACCGUUAUCAGAAUUAGAAAACUAAGUCUACUUUUGGUAAUGACGUUAAGAAUACCCAACAAGCAUUUUUGGCGCCGUUGCCGGGGAAGGUUGAUUACUAAUCAGGAAUGAAUAUAGAAUUUAGAGUCAUCAUUCGCAUCACUAAUAUUAUUGAGCUUAUCAAUUCUGUCAUACAGUUUUACCCCGAUAUUUUUGUAUUUUAUCUUAUUCAGGGGAAUGUAUGAAUAGAAGACACCUUCCAAGAAAUUUUGUUGACAAUCCCGAAGCAUUAUUCAGAAAAACAAGAGCCAAGCUCAAGAAGAGAUCAUCAACACUUUAGCAAGAAGCUUCAUCCAAUCAAGAAGAUCACCAGAACUUGUCUUCAGAGUUCGAAGCCAUGGCGAACAAAUUGAUCCAUGAGUUCUCAGCUCCCACUACGGACAACAUCCGUACUGGACCUACUGCAGAUAUCGACGGCAACUUUGAGCGGAAGCCUGGACUUAUCAACAUGGUGCAAUCCAACCAGUUCUGUGGGAAGGCACACCAAGAUGCUAGUGCUCAUCUCCAACACUUCCUGGAGAUUUGCAACACAUUUACCAUAUCAGGAGUCCCUAGAGAUGCUAUACUACUUCGCCUCUUCCCAUUCUCACUAUUAGGAAGAGCGAAGCAGUGGUUCUACGCUACAAAGGAGAAGAAUACUAUGUGGGCACUCUGCUCCACGAACUUUCUGGCUAAGUUCUUUCCCAUGGGCAAGACCAAUGCUCUCCGUGGGAAAAUUACAUGUUUUCAGCAACAACAUGAUGAAUCCGUUCCAAAAGCAUGGGAGCGCUUCCAAGACUACAUCCUAGAAUGUCACCAUCAUGGAAUGGAGAGUUGGCUAUUAAUGCAGACGUUUUAUCAUGGGCUUGGCAAUAGUGCCUGAGAAACCAUAGAUACUGCAGCUAGAGGAGCAUUCCUAUCACUUACCAUAUCACAAGCCACAGCUCUUGUGGAGAUGAUGGCGUCCAACCAAAGCUGGAAUGAAGAAAGGACCCAGACACGCAAGAGAGGUGGAGGUAUGCAUCAGCUCAAGGAGGUAGACAUGUUGUUUGCCAAGCUAGACCUACUCAUGAAGAAGCUCGAUGAUAGAGCUGGAGAUAAGAAAGAAGUUAUGCACAUCUACGACUCUCACAUGACUUGUGAGGAAUGUGGAGAUACUAGACACUCAGGAAAUCAUUGCCCUGAGAUGCUUGAGGAUGUGAACUACAACAACAACAACUACUACUACUACAACCGUCCUCAACAAAAUCAAGGUUGGAAUCAAUAGAGGCCUAACUACUCAGGUAAUUAUCAAGGUAAUAACUCUUACAACAAUAAUAAUAAUUUUCCACCUCUGAGAGAGUUAGUGUCUAAUCAAGGAAAGCUAAUGGAUAACCUAUCUAAGAAAUUGGCAUCUAAUGAUAAAAUGCUAGAAAAUAUAAAUAAUAGAAUGGAUAAUUUCUCUACUGCCAUCAAGAAUCAAAUUAGCUUUAACAAAAUGAUCGAAUCUCAGUUAAAUCAAAUAGCUGUUGCUGUUCCUACUGCUAACCCCGGUAUACCAUCACAACCGGAAGGAUUAGAAUCUGCAAAUCUUGUAGACAUGUUUGAUGCAGGUAACUACUGGAGUAACCCCGUAAGUGAAGUUACUACUGACCUUCUGCCGGUCAAGAGAGGCGAUCCAGGACGCCCCGUCAUCCCGAUCUCCAUCGGCAUGGUGGACGUCCCAGAAGCACUCUGCGACUUUGGCUCUAGUGUCAAUAUUAUGCCCAGGGUACUCUAUGAAAAAUUCUUUACAUAUCCUUUAUUAGAAACAACCAUGUGUUUGCAGUUUGCAGAUCAGGCGUUAAGUUUCCCAAAGGGAAUAUUGAAGAACCUUUGUGUCCGAGUUGGUACCUUAUACGCCCCAGCAGACUUCGUGGUGAUAGAGACCGGUAAUGAUGAGAGGGCACCCAUCAUCUUUGGGAGGCCAUUCUUAAACACCUCGGGAGCUGUCAUCUAUGCUAGUGCUGCCAAGAUCAAUUUCUACAUCAAAGGGAGGAAGGAGACGUUUUCCUUCAAGAACAAGGCUACACAAAUCCCGGAGCAAUCCCGACAUGAACCAAGGAAGAGGACCAAUAGGAGGAACAGGAACAAGCAAGUGUGGACCGAGUCAGCUAAGAUGGUCACUGCAAUUCAAUGAGGUCAAGAUCAUCAACUUAAGUCACCAUUUCUGACCAAGAAGGAUGACUCAGGAAUGCCAAGCAUCUAUUGCUCCAUAAAUGGAUACAACUUCUACAAGACAACUUGCGACACCGGAUCGGGCGUCAACAUAACGGCCGCAGUCACCUAUCGACUCUUGUUCGGAACCAUGCCCCUAAAACCAACAUACAUUCAGCUCCAGAUGGUAGAUCAGACAUUUCGAAAAGUUAAAUGAUUAGUAACUGAUGUCCCUAUCAAAACAGACGAUCAUCUUGUCUACACAGACUUUUAGGUUAUUAACAUGAGAGAAGACGAAUACGAUCCACCCAUCAUGCUUGGAAGACCGUUCCUCAGCACCGUUAAAGCAAUCGUCUACAUUAGAACUGGAGAAGUCCACAUGCACUUCCCCUCAGAGAAGGUACGCCGCUAUUUUAUUGACCCUAAUUAUAUCGUUGAAGAUUCUAAGCAGGUCAGGACAAGAAGAAGACAACGCAACCGCAACAAGAGGAGGCAAAUCUUCAAGGACGGAUGGGCAGACUAUGAAGGAGAAGUGGUAAGGUCUGAAGACAUACAGCUUGAACAGAAUUAUCCUGAGGAGACCGUAGCACCAAGUCAGGUGUGGAGAGAGAAGAUACACGAAGAGGAGGCGCUGCCGGAAGCACCGACUACGCCACCCAACGAAUCCCAGGACAAUUGAUAAAGCGGAGAGUCCCGUUCGGAGAACUUAAAAACACCGAACGCCUUGCCAAGAGGUAAACUUAGUAGUUAUCCUUUCCCUUUCAAAUAUUUAAAAUAGUUUAUUUAGUUAAUUAUAUUCAUACUAUCAUAAAUGAAAAUAUAAAUGUUAAAAAAUAGUAAGCCCCAUGUGAGUAUACGAGUGGCAUAAAACCCAUAAGUACAUUCACUGUGGUGGCAUAAAAAUAAAAUAAAUACUUCUUUUUUUCUUUAUAAAACAAAAAUAUAAAAAUAAGAGAGUAAUAUUUAUUGAGGAGGCUCAACAUGAUAAAGGCUAGAUAUUUAUGAUAACACUUAACCAGUUUCACAAAGCUUUGUUGUCUAUUUGAGCUCCACAGAUUCAAGAAUCAAGAAGACUAGCAGACGGAGGACAUUCUAAUCGUUGUCAGGGUGCUGCCGACUUUCAAAUACACCUCUGCCAUCUGCUAGCUACAUGAAGAGAAAUUACGUCAAAAUUCAGCUUGGGGGAGAGCACCCCCAUUUAUCUCGCUAAGUAUUUCUAUCUAUCUUUAUACUUAUACUAUAAUAAAAUAUAAAUAUACAUUACUAUGAAAAACCAAAUUAAGAUUUUUUUGCUUAUAUAUCUUUUGCUUACUGUGUUUAAUAAAUAAAUAAAGUGGCUAUGCUAAACUAAAUCUUAAUAAUAAAACUCUAGCAUGGAUAUGAUGAAUAGUUGCUCUGCCUAAUUUUCAAAUUGGAGUUCUCUCUCUAGUUUAGACAUAACUGUUAUAAUUUAAAGCUUGCUCUAAACCUAAACUUGUGGGAAGAAAGUUUGAUCUAAAGUCUAAGUUGUUAACGGAUAUGAUAUGAGAAGGUUGAGCUGUUGUUUAUCUGUUCCUAGAGAUGCUGGAAUUCUGGAGAAUUUUAUCUUUUAAAAUAUUUGAAAUAUCACAUGAUGAGUUCAUGUAUGAUGAGAGUUUAAAUUCCUACCACAGCCAUAUAUACAUGCUUGCUAGACUUUGAGCCACACAUUUACUUUUACUGCUUAUGAGCAUUGAGUGUGGUCAAGCUGUGUAGACCCUUAGGAGCUUGUCAUGUGGUUAAAUCAAGAUUCACUUGCACGUUCACUCACACAUGCUGCUUCUACUCCGGGAGUAGCAUCUACAUAUAUCCACCCAUUUCCAUCUCCAGAACCACCCGAAAAUAUUCAACUCCGAAUCCGGGAGAGAAUAGCCAAAAAUAUUUCUAUUUUUCCCCUGUGAAAUAAAUGCUCAAGUUAUCUUGGUUACUACCACUUGCUAUUUAUUUCAAGAGAUGAGUGCUCUAAAAAAAGAGAGAGAAGAUACGAGGAAAUAAAAAGGGGCAAGUGCCCGGAACCUCGAAAGAAAAGAAAAAGUGAGACGAGAGGUAAAAAUGGACAAGUGUCCGACAGUAGAAUUAGGGGUACAAAAUAACCACCUGAGAGAAAGAAAAAGAAAAUACAGAGCAUCUCAUUCUCCCCCCAAAGUUUUAAAAAGCAAGAAAGGUAUGUAUCCCCUCAAAAGAGCAAAAGUUGAAUUAGACUUUCACCAUUGUUAUCACCAUCAUUACCAUAUACCAUUCAUUUUCCACACAUGCACAUCUUGAUUUGACUUAAUGAUUUGUUUCUUUGGAUCCAUGGUUUGACUAUACAAUAAAUGUCUUGUAAGUAUGUAUAUUUUAUCUCCCACCUAUGAGCUCCAGAUAUUAAAGCCUUAUUAGAGUAGGGUGAGAGAGAAGGCAAUGUCACUAUGACUUAUACCACAAAUACUACAUACUUUGAGAGGGAAGGCAUAUACCAUCACUGACUUGGUAAGGAUCCAGAAAUACCACAAAAGAGAGAUCUGAGAGAGUCAUACAAAGGAAUCUCUGAGUUUUAUUUGAAAAUCUGCAAAAACUCCAGAGCUAUAGCUGAUCAAGCAUAAGAGACUUGGCACGUGACUAGACUGUUCUAUCUUUUAACUACUCAAGACGGAAGUGACGGUUACAAGUCCCACGGUGAAAGGUAAAAUAAGUAAGUUUUAAGUCUUGACAGUUUACUCUAACUCAGAGAUGAGAUCAUAUUUAAACGCAUGUGUACCGUCAACUUUUUAAUGGUAUUACAACAUCUUCUGAUCCAUCACUGAGAUUUUUACCACUGGGAGUUGUUGAUGGUCCUUAAGUAUCAAAUUUAAUUAUCAAAUAAACAAAGAAAAGGAUCCUAAUGAAAUCAACAUCUAGACUUAGGGUUUUAUAUGACAAAAUUCUAUGAGUUUUGGUGUUUGUCUAUUUCUGCAGGGGGUUAUCAGGAAAUACGGAAGAACGGCCUAUACGUCGGAAUUACAUAGAGAUAUUAACGUGCCGCGCAAUUAUCUUACAUCUAGAAGACUCUAGAAGCCACGGGAAUGAAGCGGAGCAAAACGGGGCCUGGCCCAGGGCGCCCGCCCCCCUCUGGAGUCCAAUCAAGACUCUCUUUUGGGAUUACGCUCCACCGACCUAAAGGAUCAAUGGUAACCGUUCAAUCAAUGUCGGUUUGAUCCAACGACCCAUAUUCACUUGGAAGGACUAUAAAACCAGACCCCCUAGCCCCUAGAGGAGAGGACCUCUCGACCCUAAUUCAUUAUUCAUCAAUUGAGAAGAAGCCUCUCAUCAAGCUCUAGAGCCACCACAUCAAUUAGAUAUCUAGAUUGGCAUAGCUACAUAAGAUUAGAACUAGAAGGAGUCAAUCUUCGAUUGGUUUCCAGAUCUGUCAUUAGGAUUCUUGGUAAUUUUCUAUUGUUCUUCAAUUGUUCAUCUUUGUUCUUCAAUAUUAUGAAUAUGACUUUGUUCUACUUCAAUAUAUUGCUUAUGACUUUGAUCUACUUGUUUAUAUUCACAAUUAUAUUGUUUUUAGUUUAGCAUAGUUAUAUACUUGGCUUAGUUAGAUUGGAUUUAUAUACAUGUUUAGGAUCGUAUAGCGUUUAUCUAUCGGAUCCAUGGGUAAAUGAUAGAUAUUGUGUAGGCAUGGUGCUUAUACUGUAUUUAUCUCCGAUUGUACCCUAUAUGCCAGACCGCGGGGUAGUUCGUGGUAGUGACAGCUCCAUUGAUUCUUAUAUAGUCCCCCUCUCGUGUAUUGGGCUGGCAGAACAACAUUAUUACAGGGGAGCGAUUGCUAUGUUUCUCAUAUUCCUUGAUAAUCUCACUAUGCAUGGGCGUAGUCCUAUCUCACAAUGAUUGCUAAGUAUAAUUGCACUAACUCUGAUAUGCUAGACUAUAUAGUUGGGAAUAACUUAGGAAAUAUUCUUGUAGUUCGUUGUAAUUCCAUGAUAAUGACUUGCUAGAAUAUCUAAUUGAGGUGCUUAUCAUAUUUAUUAUGUGGCUAAGUUAUGCUGAUCAGAUUAAUUAUCUUUGUCACCAUUCAUUACUUUAUAUCCUUUAUGUGACACUUAUCCCUGUAUGAAAGAUAUAGAUAAAUGUUCUCAAUUAUACAUGCAAUGAUAGAUACUCAAUCUUAUAUUCCAUUCUAUAAUCAACAUUGAUGAUUACUAAUCCCUUCCCAGUGGUAAAAAUAUAAAUAACGAUAUUUGGAACACUUCCCAGUUAAAAUGCUACAUCAGUAUUAAUCUGUGCGCUUGUAGAUCCAAUUCAUUAUUUAUUUCUAUGAGCAAUUGCAUAUUUCAAUACCGCGUCUCUCAUGUCAUGCUGGGGAUGACAACUUGGCUUAAGUGGUAUGAGGGAUAGGUUUGGCAUUUUUGGCGCCAUUAUCAGAAUUAGAAAACUAUGUCUACUUUUGGUAAUGACGUUAAGAAUACCCAACAGUAGUUAAAAAGGAAGUUAUAAAGUUGUUGCAUGCAGGGAUUAUAUAUCCUGUGCCGCACAGUGAGUGAGUGAGCCCAGUUCAAGUUGUGCCUAAAAAGGGAGGCAUGACUGUCGUUAUGAAUGAAAAGAACGAGCUAAUUCCACAACGCACCGUCAUAGGGUCGCGGAUGUGCAUAGACUAUAGAAAACUAAACAAAGCCACAAGAAAGGAUCAUUUUCCUUUACCUUUCAUAGAUGAGAUGCUAGAUCGAUUAGCGAACCAUUCGUUCUUCUGUUUCUUAGAUGGGUAUUCAAGGUAUCACCAGAUCCCGAUCCAUCCUGAUGAUCAAAGCAAAACCACUUUUACAUGCCCAUAUGGAACUUAUGCUUACUGUAGAAUGUCUUUUGGGUUAUGUAAUGCAGCAGCUUCUUUUCAACGAUGCAUGAUGUCUAUAUUUUCUGAUAUGAUUGAAGAGAUUAUGGAAGUUUUCAUGGAUGAUUUCUCUGUUUAUGAAAAAACUUUUGAUUGUUGUCUUGAAAACUUAGACAAGGUUUUGCAAAGAUGUGAAGAAAAGCACUUAGUCCUUAAUUGGGAAAAAUGUCAUUUUAUGGUUAGGGAUGGAAUAGUGCUGGGACACCUAGUGUCUGAAAGAGGUAUUCAGGUAGACAAAGCUAAAAUUGAAGUAAUUGAACAACUACCUCCACCUGUGAAUAUAAAAGCAAUUCGAAGCUUUCUUGGCCAUGCUGGUUUUUAUCGCAGAUUCAUAGAAAGAUUUUUCAUUCAUUGCUAGACCACUUACUCCUUUGCUAGCCAAGGAUGCCCCUUUUGAAUUUGAUGAUGCAUGCCUGUUGGUUAUUCUUAACAUCAUUACCAAAAGUAGACUAAGUUCUCUAGAUCUAGUAACGGUGCCAAAAAUGCCAAACCUAUCCCUCACACCACUUAAGCCAAGUUGUCAUCCCCAGCAUGACAUGAGAGACGCAGUAUUGAAAUAUGCAAUUGCUCUUCUAAAUAAAUAAUGAAUGGGAUCUGCAAGCGCACAGAUUAAUACCGAUGCAGCAUUUUAACCGGGAAGUAUUCCAGGUAUCGUUAUUUAUAUUUUUACCACUGGGAAGGGAUUAACAAUCAUCACUAUUGAUUACAGAAUAGAAUAUGAGAUUGAGUAUCUAUCAUUGCAUAUGUAAUUGAGAACAUUUAUCUAACUCUUCAUACAGGGAUAAGUGUCACAUAAAAGAUAUAUGAAUUAAUGAAUAGUGACAAAGGUAAUUAAUCUGAUCAGCCACAUAAUAAAUAUGAUAAGCACUGUUGACACUUGCUAACACCACUUGAAUACUAGGUUGUCAUCCCCAGCAUGGCACUAGAGUGUACUAUGGUAUUUAUAUGCACACAGAUAAUCCGCAAGCGCACGGAUACCGUUGAAGCUUUUACCCGGUUAAAGGUUUUAUCGUAUCCACAGGGAAACGGGAGAACCGACUACGCUCUAACUUAACCAAGAUAGAUAGAUAGGUGUAAAUAGGAAAGAUGGUAGAAUCGAGUAAGAACAAUAUUAAAGGUAAGAUAACAGUGAGUGAUAAUAUGGGAAUAGAGAAUAGAGCAAUUCUAGUAUAUGGGCGAUGGUAGCAGAAUAGAGAGUAUAACUAUGGUUUCUCUACUUGAAUGGGGUAUGUCUAUGUCUGGGACGAACCACGUGAUAAGAGUACACCACAAAGGAUGCUAUCCUUAGGCCGAUAAACCCUACCCAUCCUGCUAACGAGAGGUGGACUACAGAGGACCAACAUAACUGUCACCUACGCGGCCUACCACACGAUCCAGCUAGACAGGGGAUAUCCACAAGUAAUCUAGGUCUAAGCACCUCGCUUACACCUAUACUACAACUCUCACCUAUAGCGUCCUAUAGAUUAAAGUACUCAAAAGAGUUGUGAAUAGAGCAUACAUAAUUAGUAAUUGCAUAAUGAAUUAGAAGUAGAUUACCAGAGUCAUCCCAUGAGCAAGCUUGAUUAGAGCUUGAUCAUGACGAAGUACAACAGGAGGAAGAACCGACAGGCCGGCCUCUCCUCUAAUCCUCCUUCGCUCUCCAUCUUGCUACUAUCUAGAUCUACUCUAGUUUAGAGAAGAGAGGAGAGCUCUCAUCUCUAAACCCUAGCUCUUGCUCUGUCUAUGAAUGAAUAAUGAUCAAGGGAUGCCUCCUCCAGGGGCUAGGGGGUCUGGUUAUAUAGUCCCCUCAAGUGAACCUGGGCCGUUGGAUCAAACCGACAUUGAUUGAAUGGUUAUUCUUGAUGUAUUAGGUCGGUGGAGCAUGAUCCGCGAAGUUGAAGAGAAUUGGUUACUUUAGCUGGGCGGGCACCCAAGGGACUUGGGCGGGCGCCCUGCCCCCGGGCCCGAUCGGCCUCCCGUUCGUUCCCGUGGCUUCUGGAGUCUUCUAGAUGGUAGAAAAUUGUGCGGCACGUUAAUAUCUCUAUGUAAACCCGACGUGUGGGCCUUUCUUUCAUAUUUCCUGAUAACCCCCUGCAGAAAUAGACAAACACCAAAACUCGUGGAAUUCUGUCAGAUAAAACCCUAAGUCUAGAUGUUGAUUUCAUUUAGAUCCUUUUCUUUGUUUAUUUCAUAAUUAAAUUUGAUACUUAAGGACUGUCAACAAACUCCCCCAAGCUUACCUCUUGCUCGUCCCUGAGCAAGUAUAGACUCAGCAAUGGAUCAGAAGUUGUUGCAAUAUCUUAAAAAUUUGACGGUACACAUGCUUUUAAAUAAGAUCUCAUCUCUGAGUUAGAGUAAACUGUCAAGAACUAAAACUUACUUACUUUACCUUUCACCAUGGGGCUUGCAACCGUCACUUGUGUCUUGAGCAGUUAAAAGAUAGAACGGUCAAGUCAAGCGCCAUGUAUCUUAUUCUUGAUCAGCUGUAGCUCUGGAGUUUUUGUAGAUUUUCAAAUAAAACUCAGAGAUUCCUUGUAUGACUCUCUCUAGUCUCUCUUUUGUGGUAUUUCUGGAUCCUUUCCAAGGCAGUAAUGGUAUAUGCUUUCUCUCAAAGUAUGUGGUAUUUUUGGUAUGAGGCAUAGUGAUAUUGCAUUCUCUCUCACCCUACUCUAGUAAGAUUUGAUAUCUGGAGCUCAUAGGUGGGAGACAGCUAAUACAUACUUACAAGACAUUUAUUACAUAGUCAAACCAUGGAUCCAGAAGAACAAGUCAAUAACUCAAAUCAAGAUGUGCAUGUGUGGCGAGUGAAUGGUGUAUGGUGAUGAUGGUGAUAACAAUGGUGAAAGUCUAAUUCUACUUUUGCUCUUUUUAGGGGAUACAUACCUUUCUUGCUCUUUGAAUCUUUUUGAGGAGAAUGAGAUGCUCUAUAUUUUCUUUUUCUCUCUUUUUUUUGUUUCUCACGUGGGUAUCUUUGUACCCCUAAUUCUACUGUCGGACACUUGUCCAUUUUUACCUCUCGUCUCACUUUUUCUUUUCUUCGAGGUUCCGGGCACUUGCCCCUUUUUAUUUUCUCGUAUAUUUUUUUUCUCUUCUUUUUUUAGAGCAUUCAUCUCCUGAAAUAAUGUAGCAAGUAGUAGUAACCAAAAUAACUAGAGCAUUUAUUUCACAUGGAAUAACAGGGAUAGGAAAAUAUUUUUGGCGAUUCUCUCCCGGAUUAGGAGUAGAAUAAUUUUGGGUGAAUCUGGAGAUGGAAAUGAGUGGAUGUAUGUGGAUGCGUACUUCUGGAGUAGAAGCAGCAUGUAUGAGUGAACGUGCAAGUGAAUCUUGAUUUUAACCGCAUGACAAGCUCCAAAGGGUCUACACAGCUUGACCACACUCAAUGCUCAUAAGCAGUAAAAUUAAAUAUGUGGUUUAUAGUCUAAUAAGCAUGUAUAUAUGGCUUUGGUAAGAUUUUAAACUCUCAUCAUACAGGAACUCAUCAUGUGUUAUUUUAAAGAUUUUCAAAGAUAAACAAUAGCAUUCUAGCAUCUCCAGAAUUCUAGCAUCUCCAGGAACAGAUAAACAACAGCUCAACCUUCCCAUAUCAUAUCCGUUAACGACUUAGACUUUAGAUCAAGUACCACUAGUUUAGGUUUAGAGUAGGUUUAUUAUAACAGUUAUACCUAAACUAGAGAGAUUUCAAUUUUAAGAACUAUUCAUGACAGAGCAACUAUUCAUCAUUUCCAUGUGAGAGCUUAUCAUGAGGGUUCAUAGCAAACUUUAUUUAUUUAUUUAUUUAGCAAACUAAGCAAAGGUAUAUAUAUAAAAGCACAAAAUCUUUAUUUGGGUUUUCAUGAUUAUGCAUCUUUUAUUAUUUGAGUAAAGUAUAAACACGAGUAGAAACACUUAGCUAGAUAAAUGGGGGUACUCUCCCCCAAGAUAGAUUUUGACGUAAUUUCUUCUGAUGUAGCUAGCAGGUGACGGAGGUGUAUUUGAAUGUUAGCAGAACCCUGACAGCGAUUAGGAUAUCCUCCGUCUGCUAGUCUUCUUUGAUCCUUGAAUUCUGUGGAGCUCAAAUAGACAACAAAGCUUUGUGGAACUGGUUAAGUGUUAGCAUAAAUAUCUAGCCUUUAUCAUGUUGAGCCUCCUCAAUAAAUGUUAUUUAUUUAGCAGGAUCAUGCACUUAUUAUUUAUUGUAAGAUGAAAACAUAUUUAUUUUGUGCCACCACAGUGAAUGUACCUAUGGGUUUUUAAACCACAAGUCUACUCACAUGGGGCUUACUAUUUUUAACAUUUUUAUUUUCUUUUCGAGAUGAUAUGAACCUGAUUAACUAAGCAAACUAUUUUAAAUAGUUGGAAGAAAAAAAGAUAACUACCAAGUUUACCUCUUGGCAAGGCGUUCGGUGUUUUUAAGUCCUCCGAACCGGACUCUCCGUUUUCUCAGUCGUCCUAGGAUUCACUGGAUGGCGUAGUCGGUGAUUCCGGUGGCGCCUCCUCUUCGUGUAUAACUAUCUUCUCCCUCCACACCUGACUCGGUGCUACGGUCUCCUCAAGACAGUUCUGCUCAAGCUGUAUAUCUUUGGACCUUAUUACAUCUCCUUUGUAGUCUGCCCAUCCGUCCUUGAUGAUUUGUCUCCUCUAGUUUUGGUUGUGUUGUCGUCUUCAGAGGGAAGUGCAUGUGGACUUCUCCGGUUCCAAUAUAGAUGAUGGCUUUGAUAGUGUUGAUGAAUGGUCUACCAAGGAUGAUGGGUGGAUCAUACUCGUCUUCUACCAUGUCAAUGACCUAAAAAUCAUCUGGAGCUGAAUAUAUAUUGGUUGUAGGGGCAUGGUUCCAUGCAGAAGCUGAUAAGUAACUGCAGCCAUUAUGUUGACGUCAGAUCCGGUGUCGUAGAGUGUCUUCUGAAAAGAGUAUCCGUUGAUUGUGCACUCGAUGCUUAGAACACCAGGGUCGUCCUUCUUGAUCAGGAAAGGCGACUUGAGUCGACAAUCUUGACCUCCUCCGACAAAGAUCCAAUGUUUUAAGUCUUCUGGACAAGACUUCUCACCGUCUUCAUCAUUUAGGUGCAUCAUUUGAUUAGGUGUGUACCUUGACGUCUACACCUCUUGAUACGGAGUCACCCAUGUUCUUCGUUUGCCCAG
rnacentral:lncRNA from 1 species